UAAACAGUCUCCUUGACAUCACUAUGUAAGAAAACAAUCUUCACAUCAAGUUGAUAUAGAGGCCAAACCUUGUGUGAAGCAAAAGCAAGUAAAGUACGAACCGUUUGCAUGGACUGACAAUGCUGAUGUUGCUGCUGAUUAUCUUAGACAUUGCUCAGUUUAUGUUGAUUUUUUUUGUUAAUUUUAAGGAUAAUGGAUUGCUAUGUUUAAGGAUGAUGUAUUGGUUAAGUUUCUACAGUUUAAGAGCUAACACACGGUUUAUAUUCAAUGUUCAAGCAAUUUAUGCAGUUGUGGAAUUUUUUUUUGUUUUAAUACUAACUAGCGGGCUUUACCCGUGUACCCAGUGAUACAGGGAAUCAGAGUCUGGGUUUCAUUUAUGCCCCGUUUGGGUUCCGGGCUCGGAUAUUUUAAAACCCGGAUGGUGAAUCGGACAGGGAACGGAGUUCAAAAUCCGGACCCGCCAGACCCAUAUGCUAUGUCUAAUGUUAUGUUGUCCAAGGUUGGAUCGAGUUGGUGAUGAUUGGUGGUUGAGAAGGGUGGGUUUCCAUUUUUUCUCAUGGAAUCUGAACUGUUAGAUAUUUGUGAUUAGAUCCGAGGGUUCAGAUUUGUUUUCUGAUAUUUAGAAAUUAAAUUCCUCUCUGCCAAUCCUUACUCAGAUCUCAAAGCCAAUGAGAGUUUUUGUUUUUAUUUUUGGCAGUCAUGAACCAUGGUCAGUUUGCUGCUGCGAUCAACACAAGACUCGGGGAUCUCGCGUAUUUUAUUUAGUUCCUUAAUUAUAAUUUAUAAGGACAAACCCAAAUUAAAGCAAACCAACCAACACAACACACUCUUGGAUUGAGUAGAGGUACAAUAACACUACUAGCAUCUGCAUAUCCAAAUCCGAUCACUUGCCUUUGGCGGCAGCUUUCAAGGCAUCAAUCUCCUUAUACGCCGCAUCUAGCUGCUCGUUCUGCUCCCUUAUGUCCUUCCUAAGCUCUUCCACAAUAGCAUCAGCACUCAGACUCUCACCGUCAGCAGACUGUGUCUUCAGCUUCUGGAUCUCCUCGUCCUUAGCCUUAAUCACAUCCUCGUACGGCACCCACGCAGCGAACUCGAAGCGGUGGAAGCCGGUGCCGUCGUUGGUGUAGGCGCACGACACGUUGUUGAUACUGUCGCUGUAGUCCUUGUUGAAGAAAAUGCGCACGUGGCGGUUGCUCUGAACGUGGAGGAAUCCGACGGUGCUGGGCUCGCCGGCGGGGAAGAUGGGCUGGAAGAGGGUGGAGGUCUCCGCGGUGCGGUCAUCGACGGCGGAAUCGGCGGUGGCGGAGAGCCAGGAGACUCCGUACUUGCUGAUGAGCUGGAUGAACUUGUUGUUGUAGGAGCAGCGGAGGUGGACGAGGGUGGGGUCGGCGGAGGAGGGGACCACCUCAAACUUCACGAAAGGGUUGACCGGGUCAACGUCUCGCUUGGCACCCAAGUCCUUGUAGUACUCGCCGAACUCGUCGUUCCAUAGGAAGUGAAGGUACUUCCCGGUGGGCUUGGAUUUGAGCACCACGUAUUUCGGUAAUCCGGCGACCGUCGUCAUCUCGCUUUUUACAAUCUUUUUAAGAGUGAAUAAUUUGGAGAUGGGUGUUAAUGAACGGGAGUGGGGAUAUGUAUUUAUAGAGGGUGACAGUGUUAGUGGCGUACUUGUUUUUGGAUAGGUGUGGUGUGGGUGUUGGGCCUAUUUGCAAGUUGGCUUCUGGUAGGGAUGGGGAGAUUAAGAAAAAUAAUUAAUUUCUGUGUCACGCCAAAAACAAAAUAUGCAAAAUUAGAAAAUUGGGUAAGAGUAGGUGUGUCAUUGAUUAAGGGCCAUGUGAUGAAUUAAUCAAUAUGUACACAUGGGAUAAGAUGAUGAGUAUUAUUGUGGAUAUUUUAUAGUUUGUAAGAGUUGGCAAAAACUGAUUUGAUCUGAUUUGAUAAGUCCGUUCAAUUCAUCUAGUUUAAUUUAUUUUAUAAUUUAUUUGUCAAUAACUCAAAAUUCGCUCGGUCUAUUAAUUUCAAUUUUUAAAAAAAUUUAAAUAAAAUAAAAUGUGAAAAUGAUUAUUGAAUCUAAAUUCUAUUUUUUAUUAUCUAAAUAACACUUAUUUGUUAUAUUGAUUGUACAUUGAUGUCUCGAUGGACAACCCGAGCCAACCCGUGAUCUUUACGCCCGAAAUCCGAUGAACCCGUGAUCCGGUGAACCUAUAAUCCGAUUAACUCGUAACCUGACAACCCGUGACCCAAUACACCUAUGGCCCGACAAACCUUUGACCCGAAAACCCAUAACCCGUAUAAACCGUAACCGACUAACCCGUAACUCAACUCACCCGACCCACAUUCCGCCCAUACCGCCCGUUUAACAACUCCACUUGUAAAGUACCUUGUUUUUAUUUACUAAUGUUAGGCUUUCUAGUUUGUUUCAUCGGUUAGGCACUGCAUCCGACAAAUUGUUUAGAUUGGGAAUUAGUUGUGAUUAUUUUGUUCUAAGUCCAAAUUCAUAUUAUUUUAACUGAAACAUAAUUUUUUUUUUUUUAAAGGAAUUUUUUUUAUCAAUCUCGUGUUUAGGCUAUGUGUAAUUAGGACUCGGAUUUGAACCUUCUAGAGUCAUCAUUGAAUGAGCUAUUUUGGUGUAGUAGCUGAUAUGUUGAAAGAGAGUAACUAUCGAUAGUUUAUAUCUUUAUUUUCGUCACCAAUAGUGCAUCAGUGAAGCGCCAACAUUUGCGAAGAAAAUUACCUUUCAGAUAUUUUUGCCCAUCAUGAUCGUUCGCUUGAUUUUGAUUUUUAUAUUUUGUUUUAUUUUUCGUACAAGUUCAAAUUUUAUUUUUUGCUCAUAUGAUGGUUGUUGGUUUUUCACGAAAAAUUGCUAUGAUUAAUUAAAGCUCUAAUGUACCCAAAAAAAUAUUGGAUGAGUCUCGGCUUUUAACUCGAAGUGAUGAGAUAAUUAAAAAUACUUUAUGAAUUAUGAUUAGAUAGCAAGAAAUAUUUAAAUUUAGCUAACAAAAAUUUCUUUAAAAAAUUUGGGUGCACGGUAUUUUUAGCCGGCAUGUUAAUCGGGAAUUUAAUGUUAAUAUUUUAUAUAGCAAAAUGAGCUGAGUGCAACUACAGUCCGUAUGUAAUUAAUGCAUUUAUAUCAAAUCCAUAAAAAAAUUGAUGUACUUAGUUAUAUUUCUUGAACGUAACUCCGCAAUAAAUAAAAGAAAAGUCAUGCACUUGCUUAGCUGGCCUAGCGUGCAUCACGUGGGAGAAGAAGUUGUCAAACUGAACGUCGGUUGUUGUUGCAUCGCUUCCCAAAUAAAUAGUAAAGAUACAAAUCUUGAGUUGGUAGGAACGAGAUUGGUCCGAGUAUAAUAUAACACAUUCGAGGAUCGUCAAAAUCUAAUAUCAUUAGAACACUUUUUUAAUAUAUUAACGGUUAGAACUCUAAUAUUAAUCAUCAAAUAGGAACGGUAUGAUUUAAUGAUUGUAAUGUAAAAUUUAUUUGUUCGUUAAGGGUUCCUAAUCAAUUUAAAAUUGAGAUUUUGAAUUUUCUUCUUUGACGCAGAUUGCCGCCAAGAAACCGUCGGAUCGACUUCAGUAGCCGUUGCCGCCCAAGACAGGAUGUCGUUGCCAAGUCACGAAUGACACGCAGCAGGUCAGGGAAACAACCACUGACGAUAACUGGACCUAGAUCUAUGGACGGAAACAACAUAAACCCGUCCGAUUCAAGUGCAAAGUUCGGUUUACGUUCGUAAUUACUAAAUAAUAAUGUUUGUUUUUAGUUUUCUGAUUAAACUGAAUUUUUAAAACAUUUAGGAGUUUAUUCGAUUCUAUUUCUUCAGUUCAAACUUUGUUUCGAUUCUUGUAAAGCUAAGGUAAUUUUGUGACGGGUUACUCCUGAAUUUUAAUUUUUAAUUUGUGUGUUAAUUUAAAUUUUUUUUAUUAAAAACAAAAUAAUUAAUAAUAUUUUGUCAUAUAAUAUUUAUACCAGGUACAUAUUUCUAAUGACAUAUUACCGUUUAAUAUAUUCAAUCAUUACUGUUUUGUCCUGUAGAGAACUGGCUAGGAUAACAAAAAUUCAGUUAUGGAGGAUCCUGACGGAUUGAGUUAUUCUGGGUAGAGUCGUUUGUAGAAAACCAUUGUGGUGUACUCUGAAUAUGAACGUGAGAGUCAGUGUUUGUUUGAGGUGGGAAGACUAAAUAAGAUGAAAUAAGGAACUAGGGAUACCCUAAAAAUGUAAACAAAUGUGUAUACUGUUGGUGAGGUUGAAUGUAUCCUCAUGUAGAUUGUGAGCUUUGAUUGGAAAGCGGUAUUUGCAAGUCUAGUUUCCAGAAAGGCUUGAAACUGGCAACCAGCUGGUCGAUAUGUUCAUGUAAAAAAUAGCAGAAAAUUAAGUGUUUCAUAUUAAGAGGAAUUGACUUUUCAGUAGAAAGCAGAGGAUGGGUUUUAUUGAUAAUUGAUAACGAGGUGAUCAAGAGGUUGCGAACUCAACACAGAGAAGAAAGCGACAAACGUUUGAUCCGGUGGAAAAGAAAUAAAGGAAAGCAAGCUCGUUACAUUUGAUUUUAAUAAUUGAUCAAUCCUCUAAGAACUGAGCUCAAUCCUAACCGCAGCAAUCGAGAGUGGACCAUCGGAGUUCCUAGGCACCAAAGUCACUCGCACCUCGGUGUCGUUUUCAGCACCAAUAUCCGCCAGCAGAUCAGUGAUGUCCAUCCUAAGAUCGGCGACGAACUUCUUGCCACCGUGUUCAUGCACGUGGGGAAUGUUGAGGAAGUUGCCAGCCCACUCCGCCCUCGACGGUCCACUCGGGUUGUCUGGGUCGUCGUUGACCACCACAUCAAAAUUGACAACCCUGUCUCCUUGUAUCUCGAUCCCUUCCACCACCAGAAUCUCGCUGGUCGCAGCCUUCUCCCUCACAGUCCUCCCUGUCUUGGGCCUUGGCACCAUCACGCUAAUCACCUUGUCCAGCUCCACUGGGAAUGAGGACAGUGAUGUCAGCUUCGAAGGGUCAAUCGCCUUGAGCCCCACAGUUGCCGCGUUGGCGGCUGCAACAUUGUCUCUUCCAAAGACGCUCGAGGUAGCUGUCCUAGCCUGAUUGGCAGAGGUAGGGGGCGGCCUAGCAUUCCUCCAAGGAAGCGGCCUAUCCUCAUAGUCGAAUUUCAUGGGCUUGUUGUCCAAAACGUCCUUCACCUUGAUCUUAAUAAGGUCCUUGUUCUCGUCAUAGAAGAGGAAAGACGCGUUGAGGUAGUCGUAGUCAUCAAAGUCAAAGCGGUAUUGUCCAAUAGUCUUCCAGACAUUCCACAGCCUGUCGACGUUGCCGUGAUGGACGUAGAAAAGUGGGUCCCUCCCAGCGGAGUAGAAGUUGCCCAUGUCUUCACCUAAGUCGGUACCACCCCGAGGUUGCGGGGUGCCUACCCAGAGAUGUGCCAUGUUGUGGAGAAGCUCGCUUUGUCCGGAUGUGGAUCGAUCAGGUGUGUCCUGAUUAGCGCGGUACUUGCCUCCGAAGAACUCUAGCCUUCUCUUGGCGCCGGAGACCAUUCGGUUAUAGAUCAUAGCAUAGUUGGCCUCGAUAAUUGCGGGUGUUGGCUUGUUUUCGACCUCUCGGUCCCAAUACAGAUCGAUAGGCUUGUUGGGGGGCAGAUGCUUCUUGUUGCGGAGGCCGUCAUAGAUGGAGGACUCCGGGUCAACGAACAUGGAAGGAAUGUCCAUGCCGUCUUCAUGGUCCCAGUUCCAAAAGGGGAGUGCGAAACUUGGGUCGUCAAUCAGACUUCCCAAGAUACGCUCGUAGAAGUGGAGGUACAUGCGAUGGAAAGGGAGGAAGAACCACGAGUAGUGAACUUGUAGGCCUUUCUCAAUGUUGUUGGCCUGGACGUAGGAGCCGUUACAGUAAGCGCAGUGAACUCUGGCCUGCUGGACGAAGCUACGUGGAUCGUCAGCAGGGAGGCACUUCAUCCUCUGCAUUGCCAGCUUGUAUUUGUCCAACCACACCUUGUCCUGCAUUGCCAAAUGAGCUGGUCUUCUCAUCCGCAUUGGCUUGGAGGGGUCUGGGAACUGGUAGUUCUUGAACUCCCUCCCGGCAAAUGCUGGGGGGCAACAUUGGAUCUCGAUGCUACUUCCGGGAGUAGCUGUUGCCAACUUGCACACGUCCAUGCUAGGCCCGUCAAUGGGUCUGGCAAAGGCUGCAGAGAAAGGAUCGAUUAGAGCAGAGGCUCCGUAAAGACCGGCUCCCAGACCAAGGAGGACAUCUCUUCUGGAUGCUGCUGUUUCGUUCAUCAUAGGGUCAACAUUGCUGCUGCUUGAUGAUGAAGAUUUGCAAGUAACAGUGAGUCGGGAUUUGUUUGGAGUUGGGUGGAGGGUAAAACUUGGCUUCUUAGUGGGCGCGGAGAGUUGGGAGGGCUUUCGGUAAACAUUGGUGGAAGGUGAAGAAGAGACGAGUGCAUUCAGAGAAGCCAUAUUGAUUGAUGAGUGGUAAUGUGUAGCCUGAAGUCUGAAUACUAACCUUUGGGAUUUUAUAGCUCAGUAGUGUAGUAGCACAUAGCAAGUCAAGAUCUAAGCUUUGUUUUAAUAACAUAUUUUUCUAGAUCUAUAUUAUACACAACUUGGUUUUAUUAUAUAAAAUAAUUCUUCUUAUCUAAAAAAUUAAUUACACCAACUGGUGUGAUGAGUUGGGAAAGGCGAACACAUGUAUUGUUAUUAAUCGUUGGGUUAUGUAUAUUAUUUAUUUCCACCCAAAAAAUGUAUAUAAUUUAUGAUGAUGUUAUUCUAAUAACAAGAUGAUUUUGAUUAACCAACAAGAGUAAUCAUUUUACUACUUCAACACUUUACUAUUGAACGGACGGGUCGGGAGGGUCACAUAUCGGAUUAGUUGGGUUACGGGUUAAUUAGGUUAUGAGUUGAUCGGAUGGGGCUCAACGGAUUACGAAUUUGUUGUUUUUCGGAUUGAGUUACAUGAUGAAUUGGGUUUGGUCGGACUAAUAUUUUGUCAGCUUUAAUAAGAUCAUGUCCGAUAUAUAGUCUCACCCCCCAAUUUUCUCGUGCUAGCAAACGUGGUGCUGACGUCUAUCUCAGGUCCAAUUUUUUCUGAUAAAAUCCAAUGGCCCGUAUUUGUAGGGUAAGGCAAAAAAUAAAUUUAAUAAGAUAGAGACAUUUUCGUACUUACACUUUCGUUUGUCUGCUGAUAAAAAUAGUAGAAAAUUGUUUGAUCCCGUAUUAAGAGGAAAUAUGUCUUCGGGAAUGUACGUAGUAAUAAAGGUUGCUUGGUCACUUGAAGCAAGGUAGGUACUGUUGUUGUGUUGAUUGCGUGAUUGGGCAGUGUUUGAUAGGUUAGAAGGAUUUGAAGCAAUUCCGAAACCACUUGAAAUCGCUGCACAGGAAUGUUUUACCAGUUGAGCAAGCCUUCGUCUUUCUGCUUUUCGAUAUGGGAAACGCCGACGUGGGUGGGUAAUAACGAUGUCCAUGUAGUAGUGUGAAAUAUAAAUGCUAAGUCAGUGAGUCAUGUGUGCGUGUCUAGCCAGCUGGUAAUUAAUUAAUUAAUUAAGAUGGGAAUGGAGUUUAAUUAAUUAACCGGGAGUGAGGUCAACAGAUUUGAAGUUGAACAAUGUGUGCAUAGAUCCAUAGACCCUCAUCCCUACCCCUUUGUUUUCUUCAAUUAUAAAAUCGUCGUGAAUCGUGAUUUUAUAGAAGUUAAUGUUCAAACAAGCGACAACAACUGCUAAAUACAUUAUUGAGCCAAGAAGGAGGUGCAGAUCCUUCAAUCAGGAUCAUAAAAGAAAUAGAUUACCUUGCCAACGCAUGACCAACCGAAUCCUGAUAUCUCCAAACAAAAAGAAACGAAAAGUUGCCAGCAAAGUUUAAUAAGGACCUGCAAGUUUUAACCAUGAUUCCAAAUUCAAUGAAGUCUUCCUCACAACCCUUCAACGCUCCUGCUAGGACCUGUGAAUCGUCUUCAAAUUGAACAUUAUUAUAACCCAAAUCGACCAUCCAUCUAGUAACUUCCAAAAGCACGAUCGCUUCCCCUUCUCUGACAUCGAGUAUUCCCAUUUUGAGUAAAAGUGUUGAAAUUCUGUAAUUUCUCGGUUUCAUCACGAACACACAUCCCAACUCCAGUUUGCGAUUGGGGUUUGAAAGUCGCCACAUCGAUGUUGCAUUUGAGGAGAACUAUUCGGCUGUGGAUGCCAGGUUUUGCAGUAUGUUGGGUGAUUCCGAAACGGGAUCUGUUUAUCUUUUCCUGUCCAUUUCCUCCAGUCCUGAAGAUCCUGCAUAGCAGCUUGUAACACCAAACUGAUCGGUCUCCUCACAUUUAACCAUACUCGAUUGUUUCGCUCUCGCCAUAUCGCCCAAAGACAGGUACACCACUUGCCUCGAUCUGUGACAUCCAAAACCUUCCACAUAUUCCAUAUCCACUCCCAGAUUUCGUUACAUUUCUUAGCCUUUUGAAUAACCUCGGACCGCUUCUUGCCAAAAACCUCGAACCCAAGCACAUUCGAUAAACAAAUGCCAAUCUUCGUCAUAACCUGCAUCACAAAUACCACAUAUACCAUUCAAAUUUACCCAUCGACGUCGCAAUCGGCCCCUCGUGGGUAGCAUCCCCCGAAGCCAACCUCCAGACCAUAUGCAACAUUUUUUCCGGACCCUCGGUUUGCCAAAGUGAUUUCCAAUCUCCCGUUAAAUAAUGUUCUGUUCGAUCGAUCACACGUUCCAUAAACAGUCUAUAAUCCAACUUGACAGUAUAAUGACCUGUUGUACUGAAAAGCCACAACCUUUGAUCCUCCCCCGCCGCCAACGUUAUGGGGAUAUAUAGAAUUUGUUCUACAUCCCAUUGAUUAGACAUCUGUGUAAUCAAUGAAAUAUUCCAAGCAUUUCCUUCCGGCAAAAUCAGUUCCUUCACCUUCCAAUUUUCCAUAUAUGGUUGAGCAGUUGGUUUCAACAUAUGUUGAUUUACCAACCAUUCCCUAUACACCAUCGAUAGCCGUAUUUUAUGAGAGCCUGCGAUUCACAUAAACUCCUCCAAACAAAACUCGGGCGGUAUCCCAAUUCCCCGUCAUGAACUAACCUGUUAUAUAGUAUUUGGCUUUGAAUAUAUGAGCCCCCAAGGAUCCGGGUUCAAUUAUCAAACGCCAUGCUUGUUUUCCUAACAACGCAAGGUUGAAUCCCCGAAGAUCCCUAAAUCCCAUCCCUUCAUACUCCUUGCAAAUUGCUAGUCUCUGCCACUUUUUCCACGGUAUUCCCCUUCCAGUGGAUCGUUGUGUACCCCACCAGCAAGAACACAUCAUUCUUUCUAGUUCUUCAAUCAGUCUAUGGGGAGAAGAAAGACGUUCAUACUAUAAGUUGGCAGUGCUUGCACCAUUGCUUUGAUUAGCACCUCUUUCCUUCCUUCAGAAAGUCUCUUUCCAUUCCAUGAUUGUAACCGCUUUCAAACUCUUUCGGCCUGUAGCUCCUUAAAGACUUCAUUCCAAUUUCUUCCGACUAAUGCAGGCACACCCAAGUAUCUUUCAGUAUCAAAUUUGGCCCGAACAUUCAGGAUUCCUGCAAUGUCAUGACACAUGGUUGCGUUCGUUCCUUUACUGAAGAGGAGCCCUGGCUUCUCGAGAUUUAACAACUGUCACGAAGCUGCUGCAUAUUCAGUUAGAAUGAACUCCAUUACAUUUGCUUCUGUCGCCAAAGCUCGGAAAAAGAACACAGAUGCGAAAAGUAAAUGUGAGACUGCAGGUGCCCCUCGUCAGACUCAAUAACCCUGUAGUUGGCUUUGGUACGUUGCUUUUCAUAUCAUGGCCGAUAAACCCUUGGUGCAUAAAACAAAGAGAAAAGGUGAAAGCGGACAUCCUGCCCCUCCCCGGUCGAAUAUCUCCAAAACGUUGGCUAUUGACCACCACCAAAUACACCACCAAUCUGACACAUGAUGACAUCCAUUUUACCAGUUGAACAUACUAGCAUAUUUCAUUUGUAAUUACGAGGAAUUUAAAUCGAAUCUCGACCAAGCGACCGUAACCAUAAUUCAAUAUUUCUUAGACCAAUCACUGAAUUAAAAUUUUCACUCUUGGCCAAAAUUACUGAAUAAUGUUUUAGUGUGUCACGAACAAAUCCAACUGUCUAAGCGCUUGAGAGUAAAGUUAUUGCUGAACCAUUAGAAGUGAUCUUCCAAGAGUCAACGGUUGCUCAAAACGUUGAUUGAUACAUGUUUCUGCACGAUGAGGUGUACCUUGAUGAUAUUAGUAUUUAAUUGCCCUACUCGUAGAAUAUUAUUUAUUCAACAGUGCUAAGAUGUCUCCAUGUGAAUAAUGAAGUGUUAUGAUAUAUUUUUUUCCUAAUUAAUUAAUAAACUAACAAUCAUACACAGUCAAGCCAGUUGUCUUAUCAAUAUUGAGAGAUCUUAUCUACCUAACCAGAUUUGGGUGUACAUGGGGUUGCCAUCAUAUCUGGAAAACCUGUAUCACGUGGUGGCUACUUAAAACUUCUUUUAAUGAAUUUGUAUUUGUUUCUUCAGUCUUGUAAUUCAAUCAGAUAGUAUUACGAGAAAGAAAUAAAAGAUUUUGUAAUCUACUGAGUAAGCAUCACAAAUAGAAGUUGUUCCUGCCCAGGAGCUGAGCAAUAAGAUUGCGUGUUUUGACUCAGAGAGUCGAGUUGAAUGGGUAGAUCUGCUGAUGUGGGAGGAGACGUUUUUUUAGGUGGAUCACAAAGCGUGUAUGUAGUAAUUAAGAGAUGGAGAAAUAUCAAUUAGGGUGUGUUUGCUCCCUUUAGUGGUGUCUGUGGAUAAUCAUGGAUAGAGUGUUGUGUGAGUUAUUACUACGUGUCUCCUGUGUGUUUGUCUUGAAUACGGUGGUUGGUGGGGGUUGGGAAUUUGGUUUCGGUUAAUCGGUUAAAAUUGGUUAAUCGAUCGAAUUUUCAGGCGUAUUUGAUCGACUUUCCGCCCCUCCGCCGUCCUCGCUAGUCCCUUUCUCCAAUCGAUUCAGAUAGAUUGAGAUCUUCAAGUUUUUCGUUCUUGAAGAGCGAUUUAAAUCGACAACAGUAUGUUAUCGCGGUUGACAAAUCUGAUAAGAAUGCAGACGAAAACGGGCAGGUUGUCACCGCCAACAUAUCCGUCAUGAAUGCAAUAAAGGAGCUUCGAAAAAUAAGAAAAAAAUAAUAAUAAAUAAAAUAUUCUUAUACUAUCGAAAUUGCGUCUCGGUUAUGAUAUAUCGCACAUCCUAGAACAAAAAUUCGUGGAUAUUAAACUACUCUCAUAAUCAUAAACAGCUAAAAUUACUACCGACCGACCACUAAUUUUUAUCUUUUUUAAUGUACUUUUUUAAAUUUCAAACAUGUAUAUAACUGGUACAAAUUAUGAUAAAAACAAACGUUAUAAGAAAACUUAAAAUUCCAAGAGUCCCAAGACUAUUUUUGUAUUCACUGUUGAAAUACAACUAGGGGAACAUGUACGUACCAAUAUUUUUAUAUUUUAUUGUGUCGAUAGUGACAUGAUCAUAAAUAAUGUCGCACGUGGAAAAUCAUGAAUGUACGCGGAUUCCUCUCUGUACACUCCAUAACGUUAGUUAUUACGGAUUUUACAAUUCCCAUGCAUUUGCCUCUUUACGGAUUUUAUAAUAAUAUAAUAACUACGCUAAAUCAUACAAUUAAUAAUACGUUCAUAAGAUAAUCAGUACGCAUAAUCACAGAGCCAAUCGAAAUCACUUGUUUGCCAUGUGCUUAGCCUAGCUGUGGUAUUCGUUUGGGAUAACGUACCUAAUUUAUUGGCCAUUUAAGGUUUUCAAACUAGUUUUUGGCGAUUGUCGGGUUUGGGUUUAAGGUCACAUAGAAUAGUUGAUAUUUAUUAUUUAUCUUGUUGUAGUUUUGAGAUCGGGAAUAUACGUUUUAUAUAAUUUUUUGGGUAACAAAUAUCGUAUUAUAUCUAUACCCAUCAGUUAUUACACUUUGUAAUUACUAAUAAACUAAUAUCAAAUUAUACCAUUCAAAUAUUUGAAUAUUUCAUACACCAUAUGUAUUAAAAAUAAACUAAUUACCCAUCAUAUAUAAACAAAUAUUUUCAUAAAAACCUAGUUGACCAAUUUGGGUUCAGCUCGAAUACUAUAAUAUCCAUAUCCUAUCUAUAUCCGCAUAUAAUAUAUUUUGGCUAAUCACAUACUCUAAAAAUAUCAUGUUAAUUCAAUUUUUAUCAUGUUAGAUCAAAUCGAAUGCGAUCAGAUACUAUUGGUCUAAAAUUGGAAAGAGAGAUUUGAGAAUUAAAUAAGUCCAAUAGAAAUAAAGAGAAGCCCACUAAUCCAGCCUAAUUUACGUUCAUUCCUAGCAACCAAAUUUAUACCAGAGCCACGUUACUGCCCUAUGUCCAACCAAAUCAAAUGAGGGUUAGGUGAAUGCGGCCCUAUGUCCAACCUAUGUCCAAUGUCCAACCUAGUCAAUUAUUGAAUCAUUAUUUAAAAUUCAUUUAUUAUAUGAGAUUAUUUUAAAUUAUAUGAAAUUAGNNNNNNNNNNNNNNNNNNNNNNNNNNNNNNNNNNNNNNNNNNNNNNNNNNNNNNNNNNNNNNNNNNNNNNNNNNNNNNNNNNNNNNNNNNNNNNNNNNNNNGUAAUAAAAUUUAUUAAACUUAAUUUUUUAACUAACCUAUUAAUAAAUAAUAAAUUUAGCUCAAACAUCAAAUGUAAGGAAAAAGUGUUGGUGGGCGGUGGCACUCAUUCAUUUUUGUUUAAACUAAAAAAAUGGUAAAACAAAUAUUUUCUUUUUUUUCAAUGAAUGUUUCAAUCCAGUUUUCGUCACUAUUCAAUAUUGAUGAGAUCUCUUCCAGUAAAGAACGUCAUGUAUAAUUGAAAAUUAUAAUGAUAAACGUUGACAUUAUUGACUUUUUUACAUCAAUUAAUUUUUUAUAUCAACUUUCGCUCAAAAUUUUUGCCCAUCCUGAUUCCGUCAUUAACGAUAAACCGUAGCUAACCUGCUUCGGAAUGUAGGAGCUACUAAACUAUUGUAUAUGUUUUCAUUAGUUAUCCUGAAAUUGGAGUAAUGGAAGAAUUCAACUCCCAACUUUGCAAAUACAAAUACAAAGACAACUAACUUACCAUCUCUGCUGUAAUUGUUUUUUUAAUAAUUAUAGUCAAGCAUACACUUCUAUUUAACCUUCAGUCUAAAAGCAUUACACACACCAUCGUUGCUAAACGAGUUUGAAUAAUUUAUUACUCAUAGUGUCAUACAUGUUAUUUUUAAAUUACAAUAACCUCGUUUUCAUUUCAAAAAUCCUAAUUUUUAAUUUGUUCUUUCCAUAAUCGAUCAGUGUUCGGUGAACUGUUAUUCUGUAAUCGCACGAAUGUUAAGUAUCAUGUUGUUGACUUUUCUAUAAUGUAGUCGAUUUUUUGUAAGAAAAAACGGAUCUCUUACGGAUCUCUUUUAGCCAAAUUUCUGACUCUUCCACUAGUGAUAAAUGAUAAUUAUAAUGACAUAUGAUAUAUAAUUUUAAAUAUAAUGACGUAUAGUACAUUAAUUUAAUUUAGGUAAGUGGAUGGGUCCAGAGUUCCAAUAGCAAGCAAAUAAUACCAUAGCUACUUAACGGCCGUAGGNNNNNNNNNNNNNNNNNNNNNNNNNNNNNNNNNNNNNNNNNNNNNNNNNNNNNNNNUUUUAGUUUUGAAUUUCUCAACCGAACCCGAUUUAUAACGGACAGAGAUGUUAAAGAGUUAAGAUUAUAUUAUUCGGAUAAUAAUGUGAAAUUUAACAAAUAAUAUGUUAUAAUUAUAUAAUAAAUGUAAUAAAUAUUAUUACAAAGUUCAUAUACAACAGGUCGAGGUGGAGCAGGACAGGGCGAAAGGAACAUCAUGGCCAUGAUGAUGAUACAAUAAUUCAAUCAAGGCCAUCCUCCAUGUUCUGGAAUUUGCAGUUUGUGUCAUUGUUCUUCAGGGUGUAGCAGUUAAGUCAUUAGAUAAUGCCAAUUUUCUGACUAUUUAGUUUCUAUAACGUAGUACAUGGAUCAUAACUAUUUCGUUUGACUUCAGAAUGAUGUACAGUUUUCACCUAUAUGACCGUGAGGGGAAGCCUAAUUUGUAUAAAAAAUCAAUUUGUUACGGACAUAUAUUUAUCAGUUUCGAGGUUCAUUUUCUUCGGUUGGUGAAGGUGGAUUAAUCAUUAGUUAACCUAUAGUAUUUAUUAUUUCGGAGGAAUGUAUUUCAUUUUAUUUAUUCGGCAAAGAGGGAUUAAUCAUUAAUUAGGUAUUUAAAGGAAGCCAAAACUAAUGUAAAGGGCAAGAAGAAAAGAAAUGAAAGUUUAAAUUAUUUGUUUUAUGUUUCCAUUUAUGUUAUUCACUUUAAAUUUUUUAAUUUCUAUUCAACGUUCGUCAUUUUCGUCGAUUCCACACGAUGCCCGCAGCGGCCACAACAUUCAUGGGCUCAUAGCUAUGGACUCAUUAAUUCGUAGUGUACAUUUUAUCGGUGAGCUAUUUCGCAUUGUACUAAUUAAUCAGGACCGUUUAUGUAAACAAUAUUACCCAAAGCGUUUUGAUUUUACUACCACAUGUCUCUUCAUUAACCAUUACAAACAAACAGACAACUCACAACAGCAAGUACAUAAUUACUAAUACACCCAAGAGGCUCCGUCACUACAAAUGAUACUUAAAGACAUUCAUUAUUGAUAGCAUUUAAGCUCACAAACCAACCGAGACAAACACAAGGCGCAGCAGAUCAGAUAGAGAGAGAGAGAGCAGAGAUCUAAGACCCCUGGAGCUCAAUCCUGACCCCAGCAAUCGAGAUCGGCCCAUCGGUAAUCCUAGGCACCAGGGUCACCACCAGCUCAUCAUCGUCGUCGGCUCCAAUAUCGGAAACGAGCUCCGUGAUAUCCAGCCUCACAUUGCUCGAGAACUUCAUGGCGUCAUGAGGGACGUUAACGAAGCUUCCCGCGUACUGGAGCUUGUCCGGAGUACUAGGGGAAGCGGGGUCGUCGUUGACCACCACAUCAAACUUGACGACCUUGUCCCCAUCAAUUUCGACCCCGUACACAACCAGCACCUCGCUCUUAGCUUCCUUCUCGGCGGCGCUCCUCGACUUCUUCGGCCUUGCCACAGACACGCUAGUCGCCUUGGUCAGCACCAGAGGGAAUUCAGUCAGCGGUGUCAGCUCCACCGCCGCCGGUGAUGCGUUGGCCUCCUUCUCCCCUCCGAAAAGUCUGGCGACGGGCGCCGAAGUUGGCUUGAAGUUCCUCCACGGGAGUGGGCGCUCCUCGUAAUCGUACCUGUCCACGUGGCACGUAUCCGGGUGGUGCGCAAUAAAUGUGUUAGAUAUGGACACGUCAUGGAGCAUUAAUGGGAAAACGAGUGGAUGGGGAUGACAUUAUCUCCAUAGGGAAAAUCAAUUAUUGGUACAGUGAGAACAAAUCUAGGUUGGUAGAGUCAGCUUUUCCAUAUCUUUUAAUCAGAAAGACUUUAUUGAAUUAAAGUAAGUAAAGUACUGAUUAUAUUUAAGAAUAAUCUCCUUCUACUAAUUAAAUAUUGGUUCUGUUAAUUAUAGUACGUGACUGCAUGCGAUGCGUUGGUUAAUGGAAUAGAUGUUUACUAACCUCAUGAGCUUGUUGUCGAGGCAGUCCUUAACCUUGACGCGAACCGGGUUUUUAUUCUCAUCAUAGAACAGAAACGAGGCGUUCAAGUAGUCAUAAUCGUCGAAGUCAAACCGAAACUUGCCAAUGUCUUUCCACACGUUCCACAUCCGGUCAACAUUACCAUGAUGCACGUAAAACAGUGGGUCCCUCCCGGAGGAAUAGAAAUUGCCCAUGUCUUCACCCAAUUUCCUGUUCCUAUCUCCGACCCAUAUGUGGGCCGGGUUGUGCAGAGUCUCACAAGACCCAGAAGAAGCCCUCACGGGUACGUCGCCGCCAGCCCGGUACUUAGCCCCGAAGAACUCAGACCGCUUCUUGGCUCCCGACACCAUAUUCUUGUACACCACAGCGUAGUUGAUCCGCACCUGCUCCUCCUUGGUCCGACCCACGACGUCAACCUUGUUCCAGUCCAAGUCCAGCAGGUUAAACGGAGGGGUCACGUGGGCCGGGUUACGGAGCGGAUCGUGGAGAGGAGAUUCGGCUUUCAGGAACAUGUCGGCGAUGGGCAUGCCGUCCUCGUGGUCCCAGUUCCAAAACGGGAGCGCGAAUGUCGGGUCGUCGAUGAGUUUUCCCAGGAUGCGCUCGUAGAAGUACAUGUAGUAGCGGUGGAAAGGGAGGAAGAGCCAAGAGAAGUGAACCUGCAAGCCUUUGUUGGAGUCGUUGGCCUGGACGUAGGAGCCGUUGCAGUAGGCACAGUGGACCCUGGCUUGCUGAAUGUAGCUACGUGGGUCGUCGUCUGGGAGACACUUCAUUGCCUUGAUGGCCUUCUCGUACUUGGCCACGAACUCCGGGUCCUGGCUGGCCAAGUGCGCGGGUCUUCGGAUCCGGAGGGGCUCCGAGGCUGAGGGCAGCUGGAAGUCGGCAAUGUCCUUCCCGGCGAAGGAAGGAGGGCAGCAUGCAAUUUUCAGAUCAUUUGCGGUAGCCAGUACGCACGUAUCGAUGCUGGGCCCCGAGAUUGGCCUCGCAAAAGUUGGGUCCACGGUGAAUGUGGCGGCAGCUGCGGCGGCUCCGCCGAGUCCGAGGAGGAGGUCUCGCCGCGAGGUUGGGUUGUUUUCUUGGCUACUGUUGGCGUUGCAGGUAAGAAUGUUGAGUGAUCUGUUUCUGAGGGAGCCGAUGUGGUGGGUAGGGACUUUGGUAAGCUGAGAAGCUUUAGGGUGAAUGGCGGUGGUGUUGGGCGACGGAGUUGAAAUCAAACUACUGAGAGAAGCCAUGUUUUCGAAGAGGUGGUGGGAUGAACAGCUAGUUCGUUUGCCUUGGAAUAUAAAAGAAAAUGUUAGGUAAGAGUAGUUGUAAUUCAUUUAAUUUCCUACUCCUUAUUAUUACACAAUGGUAACUAGUAUAUUAUACCGCGUCUGACUUAACUUCAAUGACAAAAGUGAAUUGUAGUUAGUGAAAAUAAAAGUGAACCAACCAUUACAACUAAUUACCACCCGUAAUUUUGGGCUACUGGAGUGGUACAAACAACUAUGGUUCGUUUGUUUGACUCGUUAUAUCGGCUAAUUUGUUAUAACUAUCACCAUUAUUAUGGUUAUUUGUUGGAAUCUAAACUGGUUUGAAUCUUUUACAUAAGUCUACAAAUCGUUAUGCAAAUAGGCUUAUGUAACGAGUUAUUUCAUACUGAUGAGUCAUGUGGUCCUUACCAAAACCAGGUCAGAUCAUAACAUAUGACACCAUAGCUUGGAUUCCUAGAGGACUAUAAAAGCAAAGGUCCCUUAAUUCAUGAGGAGAUCGGAUAUUAUUCACCUAGCCAAAAUAGUCAACAACUCAGACCCCCUGCCGCACAAGAAAAACCUAACAUUCAUACUCACCCAAGGGCAUCCGUCGGGUACUUUCUUCAUCUCCCACUCUUGAUUAUAUUCCGCUUAAGCCCUUCACACACGUCCACAUACUAAUGCCGAUAUAAGAGGGGAAAAUGUAGUUAUUAGCAACUUAGACAUAAGUAUUAGCAACUUUGAAGUAGGUACGUAUUUUUAGCUUAGAUGUUUAUAUGGUUGAUGAAAACGUGAGGUAGAUAUAAGGGGGAAAAUGUAGUUAUUAUCCAGUUGGAUGUAGUUAUUGAGGGAGUUUAAACAUAAUUAUUAGCAACCUAGGUUUAGUUAUUUAGCAACCUAGCCUUAGUUAUUUAGCAACUUUGAUGUAGUUUUUUUAUAAAUGGUGAAAUAUUAGCAACUAAGAAUUAGACGCAGUUAUUAGCAACUAAGACUUAGACGUAGUUAUUAGCAACUAAGACUUAAACGCAGUUAUUAGCAACUUAUAGUAGUUAGUAACCAUGUCAAGAGUAUGAAAAUAAGAUUUGAAAUNNNNNNNNNNNNNNNNNNNNNNNNNNNNNNNNNNNNNNNNNNNNNNNNNNNNNNNNNNNNNNNNNNNNNNNNNNNNNNNNNNNNNNNNNNNNNNNNNNNNNNNNNNNNNNNNNNNNNNNNNNNNNNNNNNNNNNNNNNNNNNNNNNNNNNNNNNNNNNNNNNNNNUUUUGUCUCUCUCCUCCGCGUUUCCACCACCAUAUCCAAACUUACUCCUAAGAGUCUGAAACAUACGAAACGUAUACUUUAUGAUUCCAAUUUUCAUUAAAUAACGUGUCUUCUUUGUAAUUGGCUUCAACCCCAAUAUCAGUUUAAAAUGGCUUCCGUCGCAUAUUUUUCUCACAAUCCUAGACCACAUUCAUUUAUUUUCCGUUUUAGUUCUUUAUAAUUAGUUCCUUUUUUGUUAUAAUUAUGAUUUCUUCUAAAAUUUGGCCAAAUAAAAUAUUGAGAAUAUGUCCAUCUUAGAUUCAUCUCUAAUCACGUGGCUACUUAUUUUAGUAUCUGGUGUUUUCUGACUUGUACUUAAUUUCUUGUUCUUUAUAAGUUUAAGUCCAACUUUUCCUUACAUAAUCACCCGUAUAGGAUGACCAUGGAAGUUUCUGACUUGUACUUUUAUCUUUUCUUGCUAAUAUUGAUCAUGAUGGAAAUAGGCAACCGUAUCCGGCCCACUCGUGCUGGGUAAAUACAUGCAUGCGUUCACUCCAUACUAGUCGGUACGUACCGAAGCGUUAGGAUGUGAUGAGAAGAAGACACAAUAGAGCAAAACAGAGUUAGGUAUGUACAAAAAAAAGAAGACACGAUCUGGAGAAACCCGCCAAGCGCAAGCACUCAUUGAACGAAGGCCAUCAUCAUAUUCAUAUGUCACGCCAUUGCUUUAUCUCCAGCGUCCCAGAGACGUAACGUACGUACAUAUUCGUGUAUGUACUGACCUCCACUUUUCUCAUCACCGAGGAGAAAUAAUUCAUUAUUCGUACCAAACAGUGAAAUGCAAAUCAUUUAAAAAAAAUAAAAUCUAGAUGGUACGUGAAAUGCAUCAAUUGCUCACCUGCCCUUCCGCCACUGCAAUAGGGUCGAAUCUUGCUUGCUAUACCUAUCCCAUUCUUGGACCUAUCUGUCUAAACAUUGAAUUCUGGAUACAUUUCCUUCUCUGGAUUUAAUGGCAUGGUUGGUGGGUAGACGUACAAAUACUUUUCAGUGCUUAAAUGUUUAGAUUUUAGAGAGUAUAAUUUUGCAUUUUUUUCAAGGAAUCAAUCAAAAAACUCGCAAUACCGUCUGAAUAGUGAUAUUAGAGAUGAUAUGAUCUGUAUAAUAUAACGUCGUCUGUAUAACAAACUAAAAAAUAUAUAAAUACGGAUCUCAUUAGAAUCGUCUUCCAAUAAUUGAGAUUUCAGUGCAAAAAUAUCAAACCCACGCUGGAAAAACUACAAACAGAAGCAAAUCGAUAAUACUUAUAAGAUAGUUCCAAACAAAAUAUCAAAACAAAGAGGGGUUAGCCAGAGCUUCGAACGUCCGUAGUUAACGGCUUAAGAGUUGAGUGAGUCUCAUCAAACUGACCCGCCUGGAUCACUGUUGUCGGAACAUGGCUUCCCUCUUUUAAAUUUCAGACUUGAUUGUCUGAAAAGGAUUAAUGGUUGAAGAGAUGGAGUUGGGGCUAAUUGUGUAUGUCUAGUGAUUGUACAUUUGUACUAAUUAUUUCUAUGGGUGAGAUUUACUGUUAGUAUAUUUUAUUAGACGUUUGGGUUUGUUAAAAGUGAAAGCCCAGUACUAGGCUUCCGGCCCAACACCACUCCCUCGGGCCUGCCUCAAUAGUCAGAAAAGAUGUCCCCAUUAUUAAUAUCAAUUUUCUAUACUAGUUUGUCACCCGGGCCAUUGGCCGGUUAAUUUUUUCCGUCUCAUUUUUUUUACUGGGUUAGUUUCCCAAUACUAUUUUUUACGUAGAUAUUUUGCAUAUGUGUGUUCUAUUAUCGGAUUCUUUCUAAUAACAUACAAUUUAUUAUUGUCAAUGCAUGAAAAUUAGCUAAAAAUGAAUCUAAAAUUUAGUUAAANNNNNNNNNNNNNNNNNNNNNNNNNNNNNNNNNNNNNNNNNNNNNNNNNNNNNNNNNNNNNNNNNNNNNNNNNNNNNNNNNNNNNNNNNNNNNNNNNNNNNNNNNNNNNNNNNNNNNNNNNNNNNNNNNNNNNNNNNNNNNNNNNNNNNNNNNNNNNNNNNNNNNNNNNNNNNNNNNNNNNNNNNNNNNNNNNNNNNNNNNNNNNNNNNNNNNNNNNNNNNNNNNNNNNNNNNNNNNNNNNNNNNNNNNNNNNNNNNNNNNNNNNNNNNNNNNNNNNNNNNNNNNNNNNNNNNNNNNNNNNNNNNNNNNNNNNNNNNNNNNNNNNNNNNNNNNNNNNNNNNNNNNNNNNNNNNNNNNNNNNNNNNNNNNNNNNNNNNNNNNNNNNNNNNNNNNNNNNNNNNNNNNNNNNNNNNNNNNNNNNNNNNNNNNNNNNNNNNNNNNNNNNNNNNNNNNNNNNNNNNNNNNNNNNNNNNNNNNNNNNNNNNNNNNNNNNNNNNNNNNNNNNNNNNNNNNNNNNNNNNNNNNNNNNNNNNNNNNNNNNNNNNNNNNNNNNNNNNNNNNNNNNNNNNNNNNNNNNNNNNNNNNNNNNNNNNNNNNNNNNNNNNNNNNNNNNNNNNNNNNNNNNNNNNNNNNNNNNNNNNNNNNNNNNNNNNNNNNNNNNNNNNNNNNNNNNNNNNNNNNNNNNNNNNNNNNNNNNNNNNNNNNNNNNNNNNNNNNNNNNNNNNNNNNNNNNNNNNNNNNNNNNNNNNNNNNNNNNNNNNNNNNNNNNNNNNNNNNNNNNNNNNNNNNNNNNNNNNNNNNNNNNNNNNNNNNNNNNNNNNNNNNNNNNNNNNNNNNNNNNNNNNNNNNNNNNNNNNNNNNNNNNNNNNNNNNNNNNNNNNNNNNNNNNNNNNNNNNNNNNNNNNNNNNNNNNNNNNNNNNNNNNNNNNNNNNNNNNNNNNNNNNNNNNNNNNNNNNNNNNNNNNNNNNNNNNNNNNNNNNNNNNNNNNNNNNNNNNNNNNNNNNNNNNNNNNNNNNNNNNNNNNNNNNNNNNNNNNNNNNNNNNNNNNNNNNAUUAUUACAUAGAAAAAUAAAUAUGAACCACAUCCACUCAUUUAAUCAGAAUGAAUAUUACUCAUAUUAAUAAAAAAUAAUUUACUUAUUUAUAAAAUAAAAAAUAUUUUACCCAUUAACCCAUGAAUUUAUAAUAAUAAAUUGUAGCACGGUAUUUCGAUGAUGAAAGUACGAAACAAUAGAAUGAAGAGCUGAUAUGAAAAAAUAGAAGAGUUAAAAAUUGGGAAAAAGAAAAAAAGUAGCUAGAAAAUGAAGAAAUUAACGGUUCAAGAAAAUGAUGUGGUAAUUUUACCGUUUUAGAGAAAUGGGAAAAAGAGAGGUUACUUGUUUUNNNNNNNNNNNNNNNNNNNNNGAAAAAAAAAUAUGAGGGUAAUUAUUUACUUUGCGGAAGUGAAGGAAAAGACCGAAAACUCCAAAAAUAGCAAAGGUGGCAAUCAGAAAAAAAAAAUAUACAUAAUAUAUAUUAGAUGUAAGAGGGAAAGAUUUGAUUGGUGGAAUCCCUAAAACUAUGAAUUGAAGUCUAAAUGGGUAGUUAUGCUUAUGUGUCAAAUUCUAAAAUCUGAAAAUACAUUAUAUAUAUGGUAGAUAUCUGAUCGGAGACUUCUCAGUAUUAAUUAAAUCAUCCACUCCUACCCUUCACUCUUCGCCAUCCCAAUCAAUCAUCAGCCAGGAUGUCUGAGAGCCUAGCAGCCGAUGAAAUAGUGGCGGAGCUUCGCAACGACAUCCAGGAGCAGAACAAGCAGCUGGACGAGGCGUACGCAGAGAUCGACGCCAAGGACAAGCAGCUCAAAGAAAAGGACAAAGAGAUAGCCGAGCUCAAGAAGAAGGUUCUAGAAGACGGCCGAGGANNNNNNNNNNNNNNNGGUGCAGCGGAAAGCCUGACCGCCGACGAGAUCGUGGAGGAGCUGAGGAACGACAUCAGGGAGCAGAACAAGCAGCUGGACGAGGCGUACGCUGAGAUUGACGCUAAGGACAAGCAGAUCGCGGAUCUCAAGAAACAGCUUGCUGCUUCUCAAUCUGGCGGCGGCGGUGGUGGAGGAGGAAGCAGCACCGCCUCCGAUGCGGAGGAGAUCAAGAAUUUGAAGGAUCAGGUUGCUCGCCUGAAAGCUGCUCUCAACGCCAUGCUUGAUGCCUGAUUGAUUUAAUUCUCCAUGUUUGGAUGCUGUUAGUGUGUCUGUGUACUGUAUUUGUGUAAUAAAUUAUGAUCUGCUGCGUUAUCGGUUGGGUUAUCCUGAUUCUCCAGAUUUGUUGGAAUAAAUGGAAUGUAAGAUUUAUUCCCGGCUACUCUGCCGUAUUUUCUUUCUAAUUGAAAAACUACACUAGUGCUGUCGAAUGGGGAUAAAUUCCGAUAGAAUAUAACGCAGAGGAUGCUUGAAACUCAAAUGGAAUAUAAUUCCAUGUCAUCCACACCCUCGUUGAUCCACUCUGAUUCUGAAACUUUGCUACCGACAGCUCUUCUGGAAUUAGGUGAAGAAAGUUUAUAUUUAAAAUUAAGAAUUAAUACUAACUAAGAACUAAUACAAUAACGAAGGCCGAGACACUUAUCAAAAAAAGUCAUGGUAAUGUAGAGUUUCAAGUGCUAUUUAAUAGUUAGCGCUGUUAUCAUGUGUGAGACUUGGCAAAGGCAGACUAGAGACAUAUUGAAAUGGGAGAUCGUAAGUAAGUGCAUUGCCUCGGCAGAGACGGUGACCGUUGUCAAUUGUAGAGGCAUUGGUGUGAAUUGAAUGGAGCGCCUACUAUCGGUGUGCCAAGGCUUCAAUGUUGAGGAUCUGUCGCAGAAGUGGAGCGCUGUAGCAGCACCAAUGAUGUGAAGUUGACUUGAAGAUGACAAAUUGUUGUACAGGAGACACCUGCAUCGCUUUUGGGCUACGUUGGACUACACAAACCCUCCGACCGUGCUGAGUGGGAAGACGAAGCCCGUGCUAAACGCGAUGUUUAAACAUUGUCAGUGGUUUAUAAAUACUUUGCUCUCAAUUAAUCCAAUCGUGUAAAUGAUGAGCUCAGUUGAAUAUGCUGUGGUUAUAAGAAUAUUUUUUACAUUAACGAAAACAAACCAUUUAUUUCAAUUCACCCCAAUGAGAGUGGGCAGCACAGGCUUGCAGUUCGAUAGUAGGAAUUUGUUUUAUUACUGUAAUAAUAAAGGCAAGCAUUACAAAUGAUGAUUGGUAACAUUGAAGAUGCAAUCUAUAAAUUGGAUUAUAAAAGAAGAAAAAAUCAAUUUAAAGGAGGGGAGUGGUUGGAUUCGAACCCAAAAUUUCCAAAUUUCAACUAGGGAGGAUCCACUUACGAGAACCAUGUCCCAGGUUUGUAGUCUUCAAUUGGCCCAGGUUGCUGGCCCAACCCAUCCGCCUUGCCUGCCGAGAAGUGUGUGAAGUCGAGAAGUAAACUGACCAAAUGCCAAUUUCUGAAUGGUUGGAAAAGGUAUGUAUAGUCACGGAAACUCUAAAUAUUUAAAGUUUGGUCACCCAGCAACUUUGUAAGUGUCCAUAAAAACCCGGAUGAAAGUUGGAGAUGGGCAAGACUUGGUAACUGACUCAGGAUUUCAGGCUUUCAGCUUUCAGGUUAGGCUCUCGAUAGUUCAGCACCUGAAAGUUUCACGAAGUUUUAAAAUGGUAUUUUAACCUCAACUUUUUUUAUUCGACUUUAAGCACCGUUUUUGCCUGGACUGCGUAGGUGAGGAGUAUCUUAUGGCACAGAAACCUUUCAGAUCUUAGCUUUUAGAGUUUGCGAGGAAUGAUCGUUGAUCGUCGGAGGUGCAAUCGACUUUGGAUUGCUGUAGAAUUACCUGUUGAAGAUAAAACAUUUGGGAAAAACAACUUAGACAUUGUUUCAUUUGUUGUACCAAAUCCAAUUACACAAACAAUACAAUCAAAUUGUCCCUUAUAUUUUAGACAAUCAAUCUUGGGGAAUAAUAAUGUUCAUGAGAAAAAGGGGGGGAAAAAAAAAGAAGAACACAGGUUACAUUCAUUUGCACUAAUUGAUUAAAUACACAACAACAAUAUGUAGUUGUUCAGUUUUUUAAACCAUUGGCAAACUCUGCUCUCAAAUUCUUCCUCAAUAUUUUGCCGGAGGGUGCCUUUGGGAUAGAAUCCCUGAAGAACACUCUUCCUAUUCUCUUGUAGAACACAACCUGCAUCCAACCAACCCGUCGUUCAAUCAAAUCAAAUCAAAUCCCCCUGCUUGAUUCCAGACUACUUUAAGUUUGUGUUUCGAUUGAGUUAUAUUGUUACCUGUUUCGAGAUGUACUGCUUGAUUGCAUCCUCUGUGAGCUCAGAGUUGUCUGCUUUUACCACGAAUGCAACUGGGAUUUCCCCUGCUGACUCAUCUUUCAUCCUGGUACCCAAAAAACAAAAAGGAAUCACUAUUUUCAUCAGUUUCCAAUUGCAGGAAGGAAGAAAGAAAGUCUCUUGAUGCUUUAUAACAAGCAUAUGUACCCGACAACAGCUGCAUCAGAGAUCUGAGGGUGUGCAACAAGUAAGGCUUCAAGUUCAGCAGGAGCAACCUGGAACCCUUUGUACUUAAUGAUCUCCUUCAACCUAUCGACAAUGAAGAGCUCAUCGUCGUCAUCAAUGUAGCCAAUGUCCCCUGUGUGUAGCCACCCUUGUUUGUCAAUGGUUGCUGAUGUGGAUUCAGGGUCAUUCAGGUACCCUGAAAGUUUUCGGAGAACAAAGAAUUGAUCAUCUACAGACAUUAAUAUUUCGCAUGUACAAUAGUGUUUUGAAAUAAAAGUUGACUAACCCUUCAUGAUUUGGUGGCCUCGGAUGCAAAUCUCUCCAGGUUGGUUUCUUGGAAGGGAGGAUCCAGUAUCAGGGUCGACGAUCUUCAUCUCAGCAUUCCUGACAACAGUGCCACACGAACCUGCUUUGAUCUCGAAUGGUUCCUUGGCGAAUGCCAAGCACAUUGACAGCACUGGUCCUGCCUCUGUCAUUCCGUAUCCCUAGUAAAUCCCCAAAACAAACAAUGUUGAUUCCUUAUUAUUCUGUUAGCACUGAACAAUCAAAAUCUGAUCACUAAAUACUACAAGGUUGCAAAAAAGGGAAUAUGAAAUGACAGCAUAACGUAAUGGAAGUGAGUCCGAUUCUGGAACCCCACGAGCAAUCUGAAUCCUUAGAUCUCCCCAUGAUAUAAGGACCAAGUUAACUACAGGCAAUACGGUCAUGUUACUUUAAAUAUUUUUGUUGAACCAAAAUCAAAUCAUCUUCGAUCACCAUUCACCGGACCAUCGUUUCAGAUUCGUACUGUAAUGGAAGUACAAGACUCCAGCGUAAACCAUUAAAACAAAAAAGCAAGCUAAGUGAUAAUAACAAUUGAAAAUACGUUAACCAAUGAAUUCGUUCAAUUUUGGGAGACCAUCAUGUGAGACGAUGAUCAGCUACCAGACGCUAACCUUAUGAAGGUAAUGACUAUGUAGUAUGUACUAUAGUUUUUAUUUAAUGCAUUCAAUGUAACCUAACAUGGACCGACGAGAUGAUAGCUUCCAGGCAACCCACCAACCCCCUCUCUUCUUUUUUUUCUUUCUUACCAACCAAGUUCAGUCCAGCUCAUAAACGAUAAAAUUACUGUUCUACCCCCAAUAAUGUCUUUGUCGCUAUGCAGAUAAAUUUGGCGGCAAUCCGUUCUGGGUUUGUAAUUGACAUCCUCAGCAUCAAUAUUCAACGGCGUUGCCUGGUAGAUACCUACAAGAUUUUGUUGGGCUUUGAACUGACCAUAAUUACGGGGAUGCCCCUUCGUCAUCUAAAGUGUGUUUGGUUUAAGGCACACACAACAAUCACAUAAAGAAAAAACACGGAAAAGGAAACUGAAAUAUAAUUAGAACAAGAAAAAAGUAACUGGGCGGCAGCGGCAACAGUAAUUAUAUAUAUAAAUAAACCUGGAAAAACAACUCAACGCACCUGGCCAAGUCUGGCAUUUGGGAAUUUGUUUCUGACGGCAUCCUCCAGCUCCUUCCCCAACGGCGCCGCGCCGGACUUCAACAUCCUAAUCGACGACAAGUCGUACUUCUCCGUCUCCGUUGACUUCGCGAUCGACAGCACCACCGGCGGCACCAUCGGCCCUAUCGUGAUCCUGUACCUCUGGAUCAGCUCUAGAAGGGACCCGAUGUCGAACUUGGGCAUGAUUAGGAUCGCCGCCCCGACCCGGAGACCGCAAAGCAUUAUCGAGUUCAGCGCGUAUAUGUGGAACAUCGGCAGCACGCAGAGGAUCACAUCCUCCGAGUGGAAAUACAGAUUCGGAUUCUCUCCGUCCACCUGCUGCGCCACGCUCGUCACCAGCCCCUUGUGCGUCAGCAUCACUCCUUUCGGCAAUCCGGUGGUCCCGGACGAGUAAGGCAGAGCUACGACGUCGUCCGGGUUGAUCUCCACCUCCGGAGCCUCCGCUUCGUCUGCCUCGGCCAAUUCGGAGAAAUGCAAGCACCAAUCGAACGGAGUUGAAUCCACACACACGACCUUGAUCGAAUUAGCGAGAUCCUUGACUUUUUCGGCGAAGGCGGACUGCGUAAUGACCAAUUUAGCCCCGGAGGCCUUGGCCUGCUUGGAGAUCUCGGCGGGGGUGAAGAAAGGGUUGGCGGCGGUGGCAAUGGCUCCCCUGAAAGAAGCGCCGAGGAAGGCGAGCACGAACUGGGGGCAGUUAGGAAGGAGGAGCAUAAUCACAUCACCCUGACGGACGCCUAGUUUAUUGAGUCCGGCGGCGACACGGCGGGAGGUCAAGUGGACAUCGGCGUAGGUGUAGAUGUCUCCGUUGAGGGAAUUGAUAAGGCAGGGGCGGGAGGCGUGGUUGGAGAUAUUCUGGAAGAUGUAAGAAUGGAGGGGUAGGUGGUUGGGAAUGUCGAUGUCUGGCAAUUUUGAUCGGAAAAUGAAUUUCUCCUGCUUUUCCGGCGUCGCAUGGUUCAGCUGAAUCUGGUUGGAUUCCAUGGACAGAGAGCUGGAAAAACGGAGGAGUCUGGUUGGGGAAGUGAGGAGGAUCGGCAGCCUUUCUUCUUCUUCUUCUUCUUCUUCUUCUUCUUCUAAGGGGGGAAACAGGGGAAGGGAAAGAAACGAGGAUUUAAAAGGGUUUGAAUGAUGAGGGGUUAGAAUGGGAAAUAUACAUGAAAAAGUUAGGCUAGGAGGGUAAAAUGGAGAAUUCAGGGUGGGGGGGGGGGGGGUGGGGGGUUGGUGAUGACAGAAUCUGUGGAGUUGGGUUGGUGAGAAAGGAUAUAUUUAGUAGAUAAAUAGUUUUGUAAUAUUAUAUGACAAGGGCGGGGGUUGGUAAAGAGAGGCGACUGCCGGGAGGGGCAGCAGAAGGUGGACUGUGGGGUCCAAUUUGGUAGGUUUAUGUAUGGAUUAUUAAGUUAGAAAGAAUUGACUUGUGACAUUAUUUCGAAGCUAAAUCCGUCAUUGAGUUCAACAUUUAAAUCUAACUCAAAAUUUACACAUCGGUUGGUAUUAAAUGAAUUAAAAAUUUAUUUUAUUUUAAAAUACUUUAUUUAAAAUGAACUAUUUUUGGUCUCUAAUGUUAUAUUUCAUUCUUAAUCCCGCCAGCCAGGAGUUAUAAGUAGUUGUAUUUGAAUUGAACUUGAUCCCGCCAGUACUGACAAAUUCUAUUACUUACCCCCAAGACAAAGGAAAUAAAUAGUAGGUUAAUAAAUUAGGAAAAGAACUGUAAUUGGGAUCAGCAACAUCAAACUUAUAACAGAUUUUAUUAAACAAAUAAUGAGUUGAGUCAGGAUACUCAAAUUAAUCUAAUUCAAUCUGAAUAUGUUAUUUUUUUAUGAACAAGAAAGCACUAAGUUGGACAACUAAAAUUGAAAGACUUGGACCAUUACAAUGCAGCCAGCAAUAGCUCCAAGUUACUAGGAUAAAAAUAAAUUGAUAUCUUUUCUAUCUCAUUCGUUAGAUAGUAGUUACAUUUGUGCCUCAAAUCCACCGCUAAACCACCAUGUUGUAUCCAAAUUUGGGCCGCUGAAGCUGAAGCUGUGUACUUUAUAUAUAGUCAUGCAUUACUAUAUACAUGUGCCCACUACACACAUACACAGUCAGUGUGAUUCUGGACACCAAACAUGUACAUGGGCGUGUAUAUAUUGAGUUAAUGUUUUGUCUUUUUUCAUUUCUUUUUGUGAUUCCAUUAUAGUUUCCCCUACCACCCACCACUACUUCCUUUUUUUCUCUUUUAUUAUUAUUAUUAUUUCAUUUUAUUAUUGGUUUAAAAAUAUGAGUAAUUAAUUAUUAGAGGAUUUGAGAGUUGGUUAAAUUGGCAUUGUUCUGGAUCUCAAUUAUCGGUGCCCUUCACCUACUACUGCUGCUGCUACUGCCAGCAAAGCAAAGCAAAGCAAUAUUCCGCUAAUUUUCUAGACUUGGCCAUUGAUUUCAUUUUCAUUAUGUAAUUCAAAUCUUUUUCUGUUCGUUGCAGUUCACAAUCAACAACAAACGGAAGAUGAUUCAUAUGCAUUCACGUACCGUAAUAGUGUUUUUUACUGGACAAUUUUUAUAUUUGAAAUAAUAAAUAUACUUUAUUAAUUUUUUUUAAAUGGAUUAAUAACACGGUUCACACUUUUUCAAAUAAAGUUUGGACGAAGGUGUCCGAUGUCCAAAAUGGCUAUCUAUUGCUAUCUAAGACUACACUACUCCUAUGGAGGUUUUAAGAGAGUUCCAAAUGACUACCAGCAAUAGACAGAAUGCCUGCUUGAUGAGAUUUUUGUCCGUCUUCUUUUUUGUUGCUCGCUUCUUGUACUUAUAAGGAGACAUUAGUGGUUACUGCUAAUGGAAGCAACUACCAUGAGAGUUACGUCCCACUUCAUGGACGUGGCUAUGAUCAUGUUGUUGGUGGUUUCUCUUCUUCAACUGUCUUGGCCUUCUCUUAUAAUGUUGGUGGUUUCUUCUGUUUUUUCGGUAAAGUAGUCAAUGGGUAGACUAGAUGAGAUGGCAGUUCCUAGAACGCAACCCACUGAAUGAUCGUCGAUAGGAGUUUGUUGACUAGGUAAUCAUCGAUCGGAGACUGUUAAUGGGGACCUGGAUGACCAUCGAUGAAGGUUGACAGUAGAUAUGAGGCAAUUGAUAUGGUGACCAUCGAUAGGAUGGCAGUCCGGUUGGAUGGCCAUCAAUACGACUUAACAACAGACGACUGUAUGACCAUAGAUGGGUGGCAGUCAUCCAUAGAAUGCAUGAACGAGUAUGUCAUUUGGUGUUAGACUCUACUUAUCGGAAGUUUGUCACUUUGUUUUAACUACUGUUGAAGGAUUCUUAAUAAUUUACCUUGGGAGGUGGUAGCCAGUGGCCUUAUGAUUAUUUAACUCUGUGCCUAGUCAUAAGAGAUGGCUACCUGCUCUGCAUCCUAACUUCUACCCACUCAAUAAAUUGCGGAAAUCCCAUAUAUGACUUUGUCGAGUGGGCAAUUUAUGAGGGCUUUUCCUAGACACGAUCUAUCUCAUUUUCGAAUUUAGGAUACUAAUAUUAUUUAACUUUAUAUAUAUGUGUCUUUGUGUAAUUUAACUAGCUAGUACCCAGCCAGAUAAGAUAGCAAUUCAGUCCCAGGGGUACAGAGUAUUUUUCUAACACAUUUGUCUUCUAUUUAAAGUAAACAUGAAGAGUUUUGAGGUUUUAUUUAAGAUUUACAGUUUAGAAUAAAAUAUUCUAAGUUUAGAGUUUAAUUUUUUAUUGUUAAGGUAAAAUACUUUAUUGUAAAUUCAAACACUAAAAGUGUAUUAUUUUCCUCCAUAUGAAUUAAAAAAAUAUAAAUUUAAGUUAUGAUAUAGUGUUUUAAAAUUAAGAUUUAGUGUUUAGCGAUGAAAUAUUAUUUUUUAGUACUUGGAAAUACCAAAACAAACUGGGAAAGAAGUGGUUUGGGAAGUAAUUCUUUUGGAAUCAGCUUCGAGAGAAACAAAUUGAAAGCUAUGACUGCAUCUGCACAUUUGCACGGCAAGAAGCUCAAGAGUAGCAACAUUUUUUGAUCCUGGAAAAAUUCGAAAAGACAACAUCCUGACAACACCUUACAUAUCAUGAAUGAUCGUGAACCAUUCACCUGACCCAUCCCCCUUGAACGUACCACGCACCUGAAUUAAUCGGUAUUAGAUAGCAUCGACAUUGAUCUUCACUCAAUUCUCGGACAGACGGAUAAAUAAAUGAUGGGCCAAAGAAAAAAGGGUCCCAGGUCCAUGUUGCAGCAUAUCGCUUUGACUAACUGCAUUGUCAACCCAAUUUAAGGAGGGACGGAUAAAUAAUUGAAUUAUCAGCAACACUUACGGGCGAUAUUUAAGAGUCUCAUGUGUCACAUAAUAGGCGGCUCUAUUAUCUGACCGUCGAACAGUCUAGUCGGAGCACGGGCAAGAAUGCGAGCAUCUGACAAAUCUUCUGGAUGAUAGAGCCUUCGGUUGCCAACUGAAGUGGCUGGCGCGUAAGCAGGUCGCCACUGCUUCCGCGUCUCCUUGAGAUCUCUUAAUUAACCUUUACGAUACACAUCAUCGGGACAACCCAAAUACAUAUGAACCAUUGCGAGUCUUAGUUGGUCCUUGAGACCCAUCAUAUCGACUGAGAAGCAGCAGAGUAGUACUUGGUGCAAGAAGUGUAUAAAGGACCUUCAAGAAAGAGGAAAAUUAGAAUCUUCCCUACAUUCUCAUAAUCAUCUUCUCCCGAAGAGUGAAAUAAAAAUGAAGGAAUUAUAGACGAGGAAAGUAAGCACAUGACAAACUCAUAAUAAUUGAAAAGGUCACUACAAAAAAGAAAAGUAAACAAAACAGAGAAGGCGAAGAAUGAAGAGUGAAGCAAAGGGAAGUAAGAAACUUCCCUGGUGAGAGAACUCCAACAUGCUAUCGGCAACAAAUUAUCACCGGAGACGCAGGCAGCAUUCCAUUGACGCUCCUACGUCACAGCUUUGGUCUGGAACCGUGAAUCACCAAGUAGCAACGUCACAAAAUGGUGGACGACACAAGGAGGCAAGGACGGCGAGCGGCGAACACGCUGCAAGGCUAAACCGGUCAAGAUUUUCUUCGACCACAACGGAGCAUUAGUAAUUAGUGUGUUACUACAAAAUAAAUCAAACAUAAAGGAGAAAAAGAAGAAUAAAAGAACAGCCAGAAGUAAAAAGAGUCAGAAAUAAUUAGCAAUGAGUAGAAAGAACAGGGGAAGAAAAGUAGUAAGAAUCGAUAGAGAUAUGGUGCAGUGCAACAAACUACGCGCUGUCCGUAACGGAAGAUUGUGAACGCAAUGGUGACCACUAGUCCUACAACGGCUUCUGGAAACUCAAUGCCACCAUUGUCCUCCUCCGCUAACCCAAAAACAGGAGGGAGUUCACGUAGUCGCGUCCAUGUUCGCGGCAAAACGAUAUGCGCUGCUACGGACAGUACGGCACCGUCAUCUGUCGCCUUGCAUGUGCCCAGAAUUGCCCCUUUAUGAUUGACGGCCAGAGACGAGAUCGGAGUGGCUGAGCGGAGACGAGGUCGGAGAUCGCGUUUGGGAGCGGUUCCUUAGUAACCGCCUCAGAGCAAAUGAAAUUAAUCUGUUAUAAUCUUGUUAGAUUCAAUUUUCAUGAGAUAAUUUUCGGUUGAUAACUAUUCGUUUUAGAUAGAAAAGAAAAGGAGAUUUUAACGUGGAAUAUCACCCCUGCUAGUAGCUUUAUUAUUAACACAAACAUUACUCAUCAACUCUAUAUAUUAUAUAUUUUCAAAUUUGUAAUUUUACAACAUCGGUAUUUUUGAGAAAUGAAGCCUUUUUCAUAAUUUUUUAUUUUCAACCUUUAAACUUUAUUCUUUUAUUUUAAUUUUUUAAAUUCUCUCCCAUGUUCACAUUUUUUUCCUUUUUAAUUAAUUUUUCCUUCCUAAAAUUUUUAUAAUUUACCCAAAACAUAUUAUUCUCACAAAUAUUAUUCGUUAUANNNNNNNNNNNNNNNNNNNNNNNNNNNNNNNNNNNNNNNNNNNNNNNNNNNNNNNNNNNNNNNNNNNNNNNNNNNNNNNNNNNNNNNNNNNNNNNNNNNNNNNNNNNNNNNNNNNNNNNNNNNNNNNNNNNNNNNNNNNNNNNNNNNNNNNNNNNNNNNNNNNNNNNNNNNNNNNNNNNNNNNNNNNNNNNNNNNNNNNNNNNNNNNNNNNNNNNNNNNNNNNNNNNNNNNNNNNNNNNNNNNNNNNNNNNNNNNNNNNNNNNNAAAUAAUAUAUUAUUAUAUAUUAUAAAUAUUUAAAAAAUCAAAAGUGGCACAUCAACUUUUACUAUAAUAUGAUUUUGCCUUAUUGAAACUAAGUAAAUUAAAAUAUAUUGUUGUAUAUAUUAUAAUAUUAAAUUAAAUGAUUGAUUAUAAACAUUUAUGUUCUCUUGAUUUAUUAAAAUUGAACUUUAUAAUUAAAUUUUAAAAAGAUAUAAAUUAUAUGUCCCGAGUUAAUAUAUAUUAUGUGUGCAAUUAUAUUUGCUCUGCUGCAUUAGUUAUUGAAUUGAUGAUGACGAUCAAUUUGGUAGUUAAUGUUGUCCUGGCCUUGACCAGCUCCUGCAUGAUCUUAAACCGAUUUCACUCACUCAAGGAUACAAUGACUUCUUUUUUUUGGACGGUUGGAGCCCCCAGGAGAACUCCAAGAAACCACGUCGAACACAAUGCGUGAAUGAAGCUCCGUCAGCGGAGGUGUUCACUCGGGUACUCAUUAUCGUUCGGGUAACGCAAAUCUGUAUGGAUAAACGGGUACCCAUCAUUCAUACGGGAUAUAUAGCGGUACCCAUUUUACCCAUAAAAUAUCCGAAUAAUAACAAAAUACAAAAUAAAUAUUUACUAUUCUAAAGCCCAAACAUCCAAAAUACAAUCCCUUAAAUUAUUCUAAUAUUACUAAUAAUAUUAGUCUAAUAUUAUACAACACUACUAAUGAUAUUAAUUUAAUAUUAUAUAUUGUUAAUGACAUUAAUUUAAUUUAAUGAUUAUUAUGAGUACCCAUAAUACCCGAAUGAAAUUUGCGGGUAACCACAAGUAUCCCAUAUGUUAAUUUGCAAUUCCAUAUCCCAUCUCAUUUGAACAUUACAAAUAUUAUAAAUACCCAUAAUCCAAAAAAAACAGGACGAAUAUGGGUAUAUCCAAACACCCAUUACCCGAUGUCCAGCCCUAGGCAUGACGGAAAAUGGUGUCGUUGUGAUCCUUCCAAACAUUCCAACAUGUGGAGAUAGUGGUCAAAGUUCGGAGAGGUGUGUUGGAUAGGAAGAGGUCUUCCAGCCAUUGGACCAAGUCCUGACCGGUCGGAGGAGCGCCUCGAUCGACAAUGGGGAGCUGCCAAGCUUAGCGAGCACAGGCUCAAGAAAAAAGAGCAAUGGGGAAGAUGCUCAUCAUAGUUGAAGCAUCAAUGGCAAAGCCUACUUGGGCUGCAAUUUCGGUGAUGAAGGUUAACCAUGGUAGCUAAGCCGUUAACCAUGCAUCUCCAGACGAAGAAGAUGAUGCGUGGGAGAAGUUUAGAUGACCAUAGCUUCUUUCAAAAGGUGGGACUAGGCCUCUGAGCGGGGGAAGGGUUAGAGUCUGCCACACAGAUGCUAUGGCAAGCGGAUCGGACCGUGAAGGUCCUAUUAUUAGUUGCCGUCCAUCUCCAUUCGUCUUCCCUAUUCAGGGGACCUAACGGAAUGUUCUCAAUAGUCAUUGUUAGAUCAAGGAUAUAAUAACACAAAUUCCCACCGCCAUGUUGACAUUUACAUCCCACAAAGGAACCACUAAGUUUAGAGUAACAUACAAGGGGACAAGAAUAAAGAAACUGUAGGGAAAGAUGAACCAACUGCUAAUUAAUCAAUUCAAAAUCCCCAAAAAUCAUUAACUUUUCCCUACUAAUUACCUAGCCACAUGAACCGCCAACGGCACCAGCUCCGACAACGGAGAAGCCACGGGAGUCGGAGCCGGCGAAACCCGACACAAAGGACACGUGGCGGUCACCCUGAGCCACUCGUCGACGCAAUCGGCAUGGAAGCAGUGGUUGCAGUCUGGUAUGCAGCGCAGCGUGUCAUUAGCCCGGUAGUCAGCCAAGCAGAUGGAACAUGGGCCGUUGUUGGGCCUGGGAAUGCGCCUACUCUCUCCCACCACAAUCUUGGGCAGCGAGUUGAUUGCGGUCGGAUCCAGCCCAGCCACAGCCUCCGGCGCCAGUUCGGAGGAAGAGUUGUCGCGGCGGAGCUGGUGGUGGAGCUGGUAUCGGUAAUUAUGGACGAUAACGUCCUGGUCGUCCAAGUGGUGACUGGUGGUGCUUCCGCUGCUGCUGCUACUAAUCUUGAGGCGCACGCAGAUGUAAGAAGCGAGCAUGAUUGUGGAGAUGAGGACGAGGAAGCUGACGGCGAUGGCGAUUCCGUAACCGAGGCCGACACCGGUAGCCGACACCGGUGGUUCGGCUGAGGACAUGAGAGAGAGAGAGAGGGAAGGGGGAGAGAGAAGGAAAAAGUAGGGGGUGUGAGGGAAUUAAUAGGAAAGUGGGAGUUUAAAGACUGAGGCUUGAGGCAUUGAAGUCCGAAUCUGGAGCUAGAGAUGUGAGUGAGUUUUAAAUCUGAUCCAUAACCGCACAAAUUUUAAUUGAAUUUUGUGUUAGAUCUAACAGCUGAAAUAAUAGAGGUAAAAUUAAAAAAUUUACAUAUAUAUACAAAUGUGUGUAUGUUAAGUAUAAUAUUUAGUGUGAAUUCUUCAGUAUAUCUGAUAUAUCGAAAUUUUUGGUGUGUCCAAUUUUUUUUGGUAACGUAAAUUUAUCAUCACCGUCCAUUUUCAGUUUGCGAUCUUGACGGUUCACAAUUAUUCAAAUAUUAAAUUUCCAUUUCACAUUUUAUUUUUGAUUUCAGUUUGUGAUUUGAAAUUGGAUUGUAAUUGAUCCAAAAUUUCAUGUGAUUUCAAAUAAAAAAUUUAAAUUGAAUUGUAAUUGAUCAAAAAUUUAAUGUGAUUUCAAAUAAAAAAUUUAAUGUGGUUUGAGUAAAAUUGUUGCGGCUGUUUUUUGCUGUCAUUUUGGGUGCCAUACAUGGUGUUUUGUUUGGUUUUUCAGUUGCAGAAUGUCCCAAAUCUUGUUUUGAAGCACCGGGAUUUUGUUAUCUUGCUGCAUUUUUCGAAGUUGUGUGAGAAAACAUAUGAGAUCAAAAAUAUAAUGUGAAAUAGAAAUUUAAUAUUUAAAUAAUUGUGAACCGUCCGAGAUCGCAAACUGAAAAUGGAUAGUGGUGAUGGAUUUACAUUACCAAAAAAUACUGGACACACCGAAAGUUUCGAUAUACCAGAUAUACUAAAGAAUUCACCAAUAUUUAGUAUUACACUUUGUAUAAAAGGUAUAUAAAUCUGUAUACACUUUUGUAUUGGUUUUUACAAACCUAUAUACAUUUAUAUUAUCUGUACAACUCUCUGUACCAGAGUUGUAUGAUCGGUUAUUAAAAAUUAUUUCUCAAAGAUAAAAGUUUCCGAAAAUAUAGAGAGCCGACGAUGAUGAUCACGUGGGUGAAAAAAAUUGAUCACGGAGGUCGGAAUCUUUGAGAAAUUGAUCGGGAAUCUUUUCGGUGACUGGACGUGGUAGUCUGGUACUGUAGACGUUGUUGGUCCGUCAAUCAAAAAUGACUGGGUUCUAGUCCAACAAAGAUACUUAUAAUAACAUGACAAUAUUAUCCACGGUUAAUCUUAUCCCUUAUCUCAUGUUGAAAUCCAAGAGCCCAAAUUGCUCUGGAUCGAAUCUAGGAGGUAAUGUCCUUAGCUCUAGAAUCAGACUCGAGGCAUUGGGAUCUAUGUUAAACGCUUAGAGAAUGCGAAAAUGGAUUAUUUUUUAAUACAACGGGGGAGGGGAGAAGGGGAGGGAUGGGAUAUUAAAUGCCGUUACGUAGGUUGAGUAUUGUUAGGACGAUUCAUUUAUGAUCAUAGGGGCCUCAGUUUCAUGUUCAUUGUUUUGUUUCCAAGGUUUAAUUAUUAUUAUUAUUUUUCCAGAUUAGUAUAUAAAAUUACGGAUAGUAACAUGGCAGCUUCUUCUCCACUUCUGCUAAUUAAUGACGCUCUACAGCAGAGAUUCUUAUUUGUUUUUAGGACCGGAAUUGAUAAUUUAUAUAAAUUGAUAGGAAUAAAAAUUAUAAAUGGAUUAUGUGUAAUUUUAAUUUAUGUAUUUAUGAAAAUAAUUGAUACAGGAAUUGUUCACACAGUUUGGGAACUCCCUAAUCUGCAGAGUCUCAGUAAGGGAGAUUUGGGCCAAAUUCACUAUCACUAGUCACUGAGAAGAGUAUAGAGAUGAACAAGAGAACUCCGAUACAAAUUCAGGAAGACAACAGAGCAAUCAAUCAACACGGAGGAACAUAAUCAAAAAGAACUAGAGAGAAACAAUAUUCCCUGAUCUGAGCGACGGCUGAAACUCCGAUUCAUAAUCCACCGUCCGUCGAUAAAGAACCCUAACAGUUUUGAGAGGAUCCCAAGAUCCAGGUGAGAGAGAGUAGAGAGGUGAGAAUGGAGAGAAUGCGGCUUCUGUGGAUCACGUCAGCACCUCUUGGAAUUUAUACUAAGGUUCCCACAUCGAAGCGUGCCGUUUCAUUAAACGGUGAGAAGGAUUAACCAUCAUAACCGGUCUGACCCAACCAACUCGAAUACAACCCAGACUUGGAUUUGAUUAAGUAUCAAAGACUUAUCAGUUUUGCUUAAUGUGUUUAGUUUUUCCAGUAUGAGAUUACUUAAUUAUGGAGCUCCAUAAAACAGCUAGGUAUUUCAAGAUUAUAACAACCUCAACUGCCAAGACUUUAAAUUUGAUUGCCAUGAAGCCACAACAGGGUCUGCAGUCAAAACUGUGCUGGUUCAGGAAGACUAAACAUAGAACGAUGUUGAGGCAUAAAUCUUAAAUUAGUCAACGGACUCCCAAGAAAAUAAAUGGGUUUGGAGUUGGAGAGAGCGGAGGUCUAAAGACCAAAGUCAAAAUUAGAAGAGCUGGACUGUUGGAGUAAGGUACGUAUGCUGCUAAGCCAAAGACAGCAAGCAUUAGUUGCAACCAGUGAGAAGGUGACACAUAGGCCACCUUCAAUCCCACCACACAAAUUUCCCACCUCAAAUCUUUCACCACAGACCAAGAGAACAAAACCAUUAAGCAUCUCACUCUUUCUUCCUCCUCCACUCUCUCCACCGCUCUGCAUUUCUCUCUAAUUCAUUCCCCAUAACUCAAACACAAUCUGGAACAAAUUCAGUUUCCCAGUCUUAUUAGCUCAACUUGGUUUUCUGGUUUUCUUUUCCCUAGUUGUUGAAUACUUUGUUCUAAACUAAAGGGAAGAAGAAAAAGAAGAAGAUGGCUCUGGCAUGUGCCUCUUCUUCGCAGGCAAUCAUCUCAUCUGUCAAUUUCACAGCUUCUUCUAAUAACAGGUUUUCCAGGGUCAGGGCACGCCACAGUAAGCGGCAAAGUUUGAAGCUUUUCACUGCCAGAGCUUCUUCUUCUGAGGCUGAUCCUGAUUGCAAUUCGGAAGAAUGUGCUCCUGAGAAGGAGGUAACCUUUCCUUUUGAAUUCCAUGCACCUUUCUCACCUAUAUUGAACUUAUAGUAAGCCAAAAUAAACCAUAGGAUAUUGUGAGAAUAUAUUUGUUCAUUUUUUUUAGUCUUUGAUUACUCAUCUCAUAUGAUGUUAGUGGGUUGGUUGAGACAGGUUGGGAAAGUGAGUAUGGAAUGGUUGGCUGAGGAGAAAACCAAAGUGGUUGGGACAUUUCCACCUCGUACUCGUGGUGGCCGUGGCUGGACUGGCUAUGUUGAGAAAGACACUGCUGGCCAGACCAACAUCUACUCCGUUGAGGUUUGUAAAACCAUCUUUCUUUGGUUAUACUGGGCUUUAUAUAUAUAAAGCUAUUCGCUUAUGCUAAUUUAUUACAUGUCCACUUAUCCCUAUUCUUCAUUUCGCAUCUUUCCAGCCAGCAAUUUAUGUAGCCGAGAGUGCAAUAAGUUCAGGGACUGCAGGUUCCUCCUCAAGCGGUGCUGAAAACACUGCUGCAAUCGCCGGUGGCCUCGCUCUCAUUGCUCUCGCCGCAGCUUCCUCGAUUCUCAUUCAAGUGAACAAGAACCCACCUCAGGUGCAGACUACAGUUGAAUACAAUGGUCCAUCUUUGACCUACUACAUUAACAAGUUCAAACCACCAGAGGUUGUCGUCCAAACUGCAGUGCCAACCGAAACUGGAUCUGCACCACCUGUACUCACAGAUUCCUCAACGCCAGAAGCUCCCCCGGCUGAGGUUCAGUCAGAGGAAUCUUCAGCUUCAGCUUCAGCUGAGAUCACGGAUGCCACCCCAGUUGAGGUUCAAUCAGAACUCCAGCCGGAAUCUGCGCCCUCAGCUGAGAACUAAGUUUUGCUCCAUUUGCCGAAUUUUCAAUACUGUGUGGAGAACACAUCUGUACUCAACUACUAGUGUAUAGAGAUGUUUUUAUUAUUAAAUUCCUUGUUAUAUGAGAGACUCCAUGACAAUAGGGUUUACAGCAUGAAAAUAGAGAACUGCAGAAUUCAGGGAAUAUUUUCUAUCCACAAAAGCUAGAUGAGAGCUUUUCACGUCAUGCCUCAAGUUUCAACUUCGAUUUCAUUCAUUAUCAACACAGUAACAGAUUAAGUCUGUAUCAGUCUCUUAAGAAUUCAUUCCAUACCGAUCAAUAGACCAAGUUCCUUAAUACUGUUGCUCAAAUAAGGAUGAUUCGUUGAAAUCUAGAAUACAAGCUUGAUCACUAGUCAUACCAAGGUCGUAGCUCAAGCCUAAUUAUCUCUACAAGUCACCCUAAUAAUAAACACAUUGAUACACAAGGCACAGACAAAAUGGACAGUAGUAAACCCAGAAAGUACACUUCUUCUCAUACCAUAGCAGAAGUAAAUGCGUUGUGGCAGACUAACGUGGCCGCUCCGGUAAAGAGUAGAAGAUCCAUUGUAAGGUCAAGCUCCCAACAUAAUAGACCAGUGGGUCUCAAGUGCACACUGUUGGCAGGUGACGUUUCCCCGAACUAAAGUAGUUAAUUAUUUUGUAUACAGAAAUAGUAUCCAGAUGGUGAAGACCUAGGAUCUCUCACGCAUCUUUGCCCUGGCAAAAAAUACUCCAGCCACCAAACCUGAAGAGAAGGAAAGACAUUGUUUUAGUGAUAUGUACAGGUGAUAAUAUGCAUAUGCAGGGCAUGAAAGGAAAUAGAGAGCAAGCAAAGAUGUACCGAAGAGGAUGCUAGCAGAGUUCUCCAAGCUUGUGGGUACUUUGAACAAUAGGAUGCCCACUACUGAUAGAGGAAUCUUGUUCAGUGAGCCUACAAGGCUGCAGAUUCCAACCGAGAAAGCCGUUAGGAAUUAUCUUUUGUGUAAAAUAUCCGCCUUCAACUAUUUUUAGUUACCUAUAUGUGGUAGCUCCUGUCUGGUGAAGAAACCACAUAGAAGUGAAGCUGAUGCCGAGACCCAAGAACCCACUCAAUGUCAUUACUGACCAGAAGCCAGGUAACCUCAAAAGAGGGCUGCCAAUUUGUUACGAGAAAUUUAGGGACACGCCAAAAAAUACUCCAUUGACAUGAAAUGAGAAACAUGAAACAAUUAAGGAAAUAAAAGAAAAGAGGGUUAGGAACAUAAACUCACGUCGUGGAGAGAUAGUCCACCUCAUUGAAUACAAAUAUUAGAACAAGUCCUAGAGGCAAGGAAAGUGUGUUGUUGAGCAAGACCAUGGAGAACUCGUUCAAGUUCCCCGAUUUUGUAACGUGCUUCGCAGUGUCCAUCACCCUACGUAGAGUCAACUGCAGCAACAUUAAAAAAAGAAUCAUAAAGAGAACAACACCAGCCUCUCAAACCAAUCAUCUUGGUACUGUUCUUUUUGCCCAUUGCGUGGAGUUCAAUUGAUUUUGCUCCUCCUUCACUGCUACAUGUUCACUACUUCUUCAGCUUAAACGUUCAAGGUUUGAGACACCUUGAAUUAUUAAGAUGCAUAGCAGGCAGCUAUCACAUAGGGAAUUUGUGUCUUCAAAUACGAAACAGCAUGAGCUAUUGAAAAUUGAAUUUUACAAAGCCAAGCUUUGGCUCAUGUACUCACUGAAUACGAUGCUGUGAGAAAGCAGUUUAGGAUCUGCCAUGUAUAGCCAACGGCAUGAAAUGAUAGAUCAGUGAGCCCUCCAGAUAUUGCUGAAAUGAUCUGGGAAAAACAACUCUGGCUGUUAGUGUUUCUCAAAAUGCUUCAAGCAGUCAGCAGACACAUUACCAGAUGUGAUAAUGAACGUGGCACCCGACAAUAUGCACACAUGCUUUCAACAUGAAUAUCUAAGAUUUAUUCCGUGACAUCGGUGAAUGGCCACUAGCCAGUAGACCAUUAGUUAAAUGGGAGCAGCAGUGCUCUUUUACUAAAAAGAACAUACCAUUAAGAAUAAAGCUGCCCACACUCUAUUAUCAUGGUGCUUCUGGAAUAGAUACAUCUCGCCAACCGCAGUAAUAACAUUAGUUACAUUCUUUAAUACUGUAACCAUGGCAACAUUAAUAUACUUCAAACUGCAACAGCACAAAACAAAACAACUAUCAGCAUCAGGAUUAAAGGAAAACCGAACUUCUGAAGAAGAAAAAAAAGAACAAUGAAGUUAAUGAACACCACACCUAAACAUGCUUGUGAUGAGCAUUCCAACAAAUAUGACAUUCACCGGCAACCAGACUUUAAGUAAUCUCCAUGUUAGCGGUUCUGUUGAAACUAGGCCCAGGAAGCUCAACAUGGAUACAAUGAGUACUGAAAUAAAAUUCUGCAUCCAGGUAAAAGGUGCAGUGCAGUCUUGUCAGAAGUCUCCAUUUCAAUUAAUAAAGUAGAGAACACUGUCUAGAGAGCAGACAACUAAACCAAAUUAGAUUGAUGAGGCUAAGAACUUCACCUGGUACAACAUCAAAAAUAUACCAGCAUUGAAGUUAUAGCUGGAGAGGACAAAUUUGUUGACCAAUAUCAUGCUGCAGGAGGAAAUACAAUAUGCAAGGCCAGAUAAUAAGGCCUGAUUUCGUAUCGUAACUUUGUUACUGCGUAUAACUUUAUCUCCAGGCUUUUCCAGCUUUCCAUCUUCCAAAUCAAUCUCUCCAUUUUCAUGCAACUUCAUUGCAAAUGGCGACCUGUACCAUGGAAACCACAAUAAGGUUUAUAGUACCAACAAUUAGCAGAGGAGACUAUUAUGCUACCCUCUCUGGUUAACCGACUGAUCUGCCCUUCUUAUUGGUAAUCCAUAAAAAGGACAACAUCUCCAGCUGGACAUUUGGUGCAAUUAUGUACACUGAUCCCAGUAUAUAAUAGUGUGUCCAUUCUUAGUGAGAUACUGUGGAAUUAUUGAACGUCGUCUGAUCAUGUUAGGGUCAACCAUUGUAUUUCCUAGCUGUCCGAGUCGAAAAUUCGAGACAACAUAGGAGAACUUGCAAGAGACUUGUUCUGUGUCCUAAGGCGAUUUCAGAGGGUAGAGAACCAAGUAACAUAUAGCUAAGGGGGCAUUCAUUAUAGGAAUCAGAAGGAAACAAAGCAUACUCUGACCAAAUUCCUUCCAUAAAAUUUCAACACUGCAGUUAAAGAUUUACCAAAGUGAAAGGCUGAUCUAAAGGUACAAGAUGAUAAAGUGCCAAACGUACCUGUUGACUGCUUCUCUUCUCAGUGGACUGGACCUCUGGUGGUCUACAACCACACUGGAUUCAUGAUUUUUGAAGCUUCCUCCACCUCGGUUAGCAUUACCUACUCCCUCCGCCAGAUCUCUUUCGUAAUGAGAAUCAGGAGACUUGAUGGAAAGAGACCUUCAAAAGAAAAGAUACUGAACCAUAUUAACUCUAGACCCAAGAGUUCAAAAUUCAUAACUUCAAAACAGCGGAAAAGGAGCCAACUUUGACCUAAUCGUAAACCAACUCAAAAUCAAUAGGAAAGCAAUGGAACAGGCAGUUUCCUAGGACACAUAUGUAAGCAAGAGGACCACUGAACUUACUCAAGCAACCAACUUUCAGAAAGAACAAGAACUAUCUAUCUAUCUGUCUGUCACUGUCAGCCAACUCACAUUAGAAACACAAGGUUCCGUCUUUGAUUCACGUGACAUGAAACUGGAAGGGAGAUAUGAUGUAAACCAAGGUACAGGAGAAGUCAAAGGAAAUUACCUUGUACCCAUUAGAAGUUGAUAUCUCAAGCUCGAGAAAGUAGGGUCUCAGCCGGACGGACGGACGGACGUAGAUUGGUCAGAAAAUCUCCCGCCAACACAAUAUGGUCAACAGGAAUUGGGGGAUUACAAAUGAAGUAUUUGGGUGGGAAUCAAGAGACUGUCGGGAGAUUUCGAGCAGCUGAUGCAAACAAAAGUGGUGAUCUUUGGGUUGAAUGAGUUCAAAAACCCAUCCACUUUCAAGUAGCGAUACAAAUAAGAGAAGAAGAGGAGAGAAGUCCUUUUCUCUCCCUGCUGCUGCUUCGUCUUCUUCCUCUAGCUAUUUUGUUUUCCUUUUCAAUUUCUGCUGAGUUUUAUAAAUAAAUAAAUAAAUAAUAUCUUACUAGUUCCGUCUAGUCGCCUGUUGAGAUUGUGGCUUUUGAUUGGGCAAACGAGUGAUAGUCGCAGAUCGGCGUCGCAUGGCUAAUUGGCCAAAAGAAUUAUGCACUUUCGAUCCGGAAGCCAAUCUCCCCAAUCUAAGGGUGUAGAUUGAUCAAAGAUAAAAUUGUCAUUUCAUAUUUAAAUAAAUUUAUUUUUUAAAAUUUUGAUGUUCAAAGAUGAUUGGUCGACAAAAGAUAAAGAAUCAAUUUUAUUCAUUUUUCUUUAUGCGACAGUCAUCACUAUAUCAACGAUUCCCCCAUUUCUGGUCGAUAACAAUCUCUAACAGCUUUGGUACUUUUGCAUAUUUGCCUUGUGCAACCGCAAAUAACCGCCAAAACAUCGAUGAAUCAAAGAUGAGAACAUUGUAGGCAAGUCAAAAAGUGUUCUGAAAGGCGAUCUCUAACGAGUGUCACUUGAUAUUUUGAGAUCGAGUUCUUUAUUCAAUCCUGAUCCAGUUUUUAAUUUACCAUUACAUAUAGCCUUUAUAACUUUGUUGGCUUGACUAUUUCGAAUAUUAACCCUUCUCUUAAAAAAUAAUCAAGGAAGACACUUGUGUGAGGAACCCACUCGCAUCACCAUGACUUUUAGCAACCACAAGUCCUCAACUAGUUUCAAUUGAAGUUGACAAGCAAAACAAUGGACGUUGUAGGUUGAUGGAUCUUCUGAUAGGUCACAUAUAAAAUAAGUAGGUAUGGAAUUCGAGAUGGGUUUGGGUAUCCAAACCCGAACUCCACGGAUAUCCAUCUCAUAAUAUUGGGAAUUUGGUUCCCAUAUUCCAAAUUCAUUUGAAACUAUAUGUAUUAAAUAACUACGGCCUAAGAUGAUGAUGCAUUAAACAUAUUAUUAUAUUAACAUAAAAGGCUGGAGUUCGCUCUGCUCAAGGGAAGUCGAUGCUUUGAGGAGGGCGAAGAGCUUGAGGGUUGAAUCGAAGCCGGGUCAAGAAGUGGUCGGCUAGGGAUUUCAUCACUCUGUUUCUUGCCUUGUUCUUGGUUUGGCCAGAGUCAUCUUCUGCAGCUAGCUUGCUUUCUUUGUCUUUCACUCCUAUGUUGUACUUCUAAUUCUUCAAAUUAUUUGUUCGGUUUGUCGGAAGUCUGAUUGGUGUAACAGUGCAAGCAGAACACCCUGUUCCUGCAUUUAUUUUGUAAUGACAUUGAAGAAGAAUCGUUAACUCUCUGUUUCACUGCUUUUAAACCGCAAAAAUCAGAGGAAAAACCAGCCACAACUUGAUAUGCUCAUAUGCAUAACUCAUUUUCACUUCCGAAUUCUUUUCGCUGUCAUAUAAGUAAUCUAUGGAUGAAAUAAAGACAAAAUCAUAAUCCAGUAGAACCAAACUCAUAAUCCAUGCAAUAAAGACUUCAGUCAUCCAUUAUUUGUUCAGUCAGAACUAUAACUAUUUGAAGACUUAAAGAAUGCUCUUGCCAAUGAACCAGCUGUUGUCAAGGUGAGAAGAAGAACAGUAAAAAACGAGAAGAAGCGCGACGUCGAACUGAGAAAAGAACGGGAAGAAGCGAGAAGAAUCGCUGAAUAGGGCGAGCGUGAUGUCGUUGGGUUGGCCAGCCGCCUCGCUGCUUUGUGAAGGGCGGUGAGAACGAGGGGUGAGCAACUGAGCCCAAAAUUUUUCUUUUUUCCUGGUGACUCGUGACAAGAUUAGGGAUUUAAAGCUGUUUUCGGCUUUUCGCUAUGACUUGCGGUUUGCAGUUUUAAACCACAAACCUACCGAACCGCGAACUGCUAAUUGGAAAAAACCGCUCCGCAUAUAAAACUGCAAUGUGGUGCGGAUUGUUUUUUUUAGGUUCGGUGCGUUGCGGUUUCAAAUGGCCAGCCCUAGUGAUUACAGAUAGACAGCGUGUUUCACCAUAUGGAAUUCCAAUUCUAGUGGAAUUGAUGUUUUUACGAAGGGAAUCAAAAAAUUGGUAAAUUCUUGCUCCUAAUUUCUAGCGGAAAACUAUGCCUAAAAUAAAAAAUACAAUUCAACAAUUAGAAAAAUUUCAAAACAAAGUAAACAAAACCUUAUUAUUAUUGAGAUAAAAGUAUGAGGGCAGUAACACUCAUUAUUAUAUGUACCCGUCACACAAUGUUAACAACUGCCGAUACAACGCUAGUAAAUUUGGAGAAAAUCGAGGUAGCUUUUUAAAAAUAAUAUCAAUCAUGCGUGGUUUUGGAAGAGACGUCGGGGGCAUCUGGAUGUGCCGGAGGCUGGUCAGAUGAUUUUGCUGGAUUAUUGUGAUUAGUACCAGUGUUCCUCCUAAACACAUUGGUGAACCCCAAAUACCUCUUGAACUUCCUGAACACCCCCUGUUGGGUCGACGCUUGCUGCUUCGCCCCUGCGCUUUCCUCCGAUGCUCCUUUUUCGUUCUCCGUUGAGACCGAUGAUUCCUUGCCUUCCUGCUUGUCUGCAGCUACUACUUCACUUUCAGCCUCUUUACCAGUGGUGGGAGUAAUGAUAGUAGUAGUAGUAGUAGGGGUAAUGGUGGCAGUGGUUUUUGCUGAGGAAGCAAAUAGUGUAGACUUCUUAAGCCAGUAUUGGUCAAGUCGUUGUCUUGCGUAUGCCGAGUAAUCGAACUCAAUUUUGUUAACAUGUUCCUGUGGUACACAUAGAACAAACAAAUUGCACAUAUCAUUGUAACUAUAUGUGCUAAUAACUGGCAUCCCUUGCAUGCAUAUAUCCCCACCAUCUAUGUAUAUUAUAUCUAACGUAUACCGAUGUUUCUAGCUAGGCUUCAUCAUGGCUGGAAAUUUGGGUUUGGUUAUUCAGUUUAACAGAAUUUGUAACUGAUUUCAAAAUAAUCGUCGGCUCAAAUGGACAAUGACUAGAGUUCGGCUGCAGUUCUAAGAAUUUAACCGGUUAAAAUGUGCUAACCCAGUUGACAUGCAAGUCGAAAUCGGUUACGGUUAAUUCAAAUUCAACAAGACUGCGGCCAUAAUUUAUUGUUUUGAGCCGGACUUGAAAUUAGGUGAAUUUGAAAAUCGGUGAAGUUUACCGGAUUUCGACCAAAUUAUCAACCUUAGAAGUCAGAACUCAAGUUGUCUAAGGUGAAAGAAGAAUAUAAUAAAAAGUUAAGCUCUUUAAUUACCGAUAUUAUGCCCCAUAAGCCCCAAAACAGAUGGCUCCCAAGUGUGUAAUUCUCAACAUCUUGAAGAAAUGGUUCCACCUCUUUGCCACCAUGAGGUUCCGCUGUGCACAGACAAUACACCACAGUUUCAAAACUCUGACCAUAUCAGUAUGAACAUUACAGAAAAGUCCUAAUAAUCACCAUUGAAGUGAAGGGGUGUGUUGAUUUCGGCAGCGUUAUGUAAUAUUCUUUGUUAUCACAUCUCUAUCCCGAAGUUUUAGUAAUCGCUAAAAUGAGGUGUAGAGUGGGGUGACACUCUUGUAGUAAUUGUUGGGGAUGUAUAACUAAUUACUUUCUAAAUUAAAAAUUUUGCUGAAAAUGCCACAUAGACAUAUUGAAUUAAUUUUCUAAACAAAAUAUUAAAAGCACGUUUGGUUUUGGUGUUCGGAGUAAAAUGCUAGUUUCUUUAAAUUCCUUAUUUAGUAAGAGAAAUGAAUUUCAAAAUUUAUAUAUUUAAGGAAAAAAUUGAGCUCCAAGUUAAAAAAUAAAAACAAAACUCAAAACUCAACAAAAGAUGAGUUUGUGGGUUUUAAAUUUGUAAUUUGUCUACAUAUUUAGAAUUCUAAUCCUAUUAUCUUGAUAAGGUUUACUAUUAAUUUUUUAAGAAAAAGAGGAAAAUACAGUAAUGAACCCAAAAUUAUAUGUGUCUACUCGAAACUCAACCAUAAAUAAAUACUUUUCAAAUAAAGAUGAUGAGAAUAAUACUAGUUUCUUAAAAUACACCAUUUUAAAAACUAUUGUUUUGAAAGAAUUAUCGAUUUUUCAAAACACAAAAAUCAAACGUGACCUUAAAUAAAUUUAUUUUAUAUGAAUAAUGAGAGAAAAAAUAUUAUAAGGUAAACUAUAUUGUAGCCUUGUAGGAGUUGCUACAAAACUACAAGAAAUGUAGACGUUUAAAAAUUACUUAACGAGUUAAAUUACCAAAACUCUUAUUAAAAAUGGUUAAAACCAUUUUUCAAAAUAAUAUUCUAACAAGUUCCAGAUAGUAAACCAAUAGAUAGCUAGGGAGCUUGAGAUUGUUGAAAUUUCACAAACAUGCAUGAUGAAGCUCCACAGAUAUAAGCCCAGUAGGCCACAACAUGAUGGGACAUUAUAAUUAUGAUUCAAAGAGAUAUACAGUACCUGAAGAACUCAGAUACGCAUUCACAAAUCUUCUGCGCUCCUCCACACCUAAUUUAACACCAACACACCCAUCUCUGUCAAAAGGUCAAUGAAAAGAAAACGAUAGCAUUAGUUAAUCCAAACUGUUGAUUACCCACGUACGUACCAGGGUAUUUGCUAUAAUCCAAUACAUGGGGUGUCUCUGUGUGAUAGUCCGCAGCCAUCUCACAAAAGUGAUUUGCCAAAUCGAAGGCAACUGGGUUGUAACUUGCAUACUCGUAGCCCUGAUUUAAAAACAAAAAUAAUUAAUUAAGGAGACUGAACAAUUAGAGCUAGCAUUCGUCCAUUAUACAAUAAGCUGACUUACUAUUAUGGUCACUGCUUUGGUUUCUUCAUCAAUCAUUAGGUUACCAUACUGCAAAUCAUUGUGGCAAAACCCAACGUAUUGGUUGGUGGAGAGUUCCUUCUCGAGAAAUGUAAUUUCACCGUCAAGUUCAUCCAACCGAAAUGUUUUAGCUUCAUCGGCAGAGCAUGUGUCUUUUGCUACUUGCAGCCACUUUCUGAAUUCUGAAUUUCGUUACCACAGUUCAACAUAUCAAGACAAGAAAAAGAGAUGGAAAAUAUACCUCAGCUUAUCCCAGAGGUAGACAACUUUUUGACCAGGCAUCUCAAGGCUAUGGAACUCCCUCAUUUUUGCUGCUAUAAGCAGGGAGAUGUCUUUAUCACACAGAUCAGAAGCUGACAGUGUCUGAAACAUCACAUGUACCGCUGUGAGUCACAUUAACACUAAGAUAAACACACAAAGGCGUUAUAUUUAUUAUUCAUUAUUAAUGCGUACUUAAGUUGCAUUAGUUUCUGUUAUACUAUUCAUUAUGAAUGUCUACUUCUAACUACAAUAUUCCCAUUUGGUAUGAGUAUCACAGCUUGCCGAUAAGUGCCGCAAAACAACUUGUUUUAUAUGGUGUAUUGGGUUAGGAGAAUUAGAAAUGGAAUGGCGUCCGAAUUAGCAUGCCGUUUUUAUAUAUUAUUUUCGCGUCCAUUUAUUUUGAUGUACGCCUUUUUAAGGGUGUGAUUCAUUUGUAAACGAUAUAAUAGUUCAACAACCGAUUUCGAAAAAAACUAUAAGAUAAAGCACUUAGGUUGCCUUCUAACUCCAAAAUAAAGUCACAUUACACUAUUCAUUGUUCACCUUUUUCCACCAAUUUAAUUUUCUGUAGCUUUCUCCAUUAGUUACUUUGUUAGAUAAAGUAACGUAGGUGGAUGAUGGGAUGGGUUUAGUGGUGAGAAUUAAGUUAGGUUAUAACAAGAUUUAGUUAGGUUAAGUUGAUCGGAUUUCGAUAAAUCUGAAAGCCUAAACUAAAUAAAGUCAGGUCGAACUCAGGUCUAUACAAUGUAUAAAUUCGGGUUUUCAAAAAAUUUCGANNNNNNNNNNNNNNNNNNNNNNNNNNNNNNNNNNNNNNNNNNNNNNNNNNNNNNNNNNNNNNNNNNNNNNNNNNNNNNNNNNNNNNNNNNNNNNNNNNNNNNNNNNNNNNNNNNNNNNAUAAUACAUUUUGGUGAUUUGGUUAUCAGUAGUGAAAAUCUGAUCAAGCCAAGUUUCAGGUAACGAAUAUAUUUUGAGAUUAAAUGGUGAGGGUAAAUCUGAGAUAAUGAGAUAAUAAAUGAAUGUGGGCUAACCAUAUAUUCUUCUCUUCCUUCAAAUUUUACAUAUAUAGGUAAUAUUUUAAAAUCCCUACUAACAUGUAUUUGGGAUUAUGAAAUACAUGUAUUUCAUGCAUUAUUUUUUCAUACCAAAUAAAGGAAUUAAUCAAAUAUAUGAGUUUCUAAAUACAUGACUUAAAAUCACCCCAUAUCAAAUAAGGUCUUACAUGUAAUAAUUGGUUGAGCCACUAAUAUCCACCUAAUUAAGUUAUGUAUUAUUUUAAUUUUUUUUUUUUGGGGUUCAUACAGCUUCAAAAGGAAACGAGUAAAAAAAAAUAGUGAAAUUUAAACGUAAAAUCAGAAUAAAAAAUGAAUUAAGUAGUAAUUGAUGAUCAAAGUAAAAUUACCCGAGCACGAAUGAACUCUUCAAUCCUGCCACUAGAAAAGCGACCGAGCAGACGUGGCCCAUGCCCUUGUUUGGACAUGAGCUCAAAUGUGCGGAUCUCAUCGUCUUUGUCAAAGAAAACCUCAACGCCCACCCCGUAGAUUCGAACGAUGACUUUAUGAGAGAGUUCGCCGGCCUUGGUUGGCCAUUUGAUUUGGAAGACCUCGUUGGUCAUAGCACCUUUAAGAGGGAUGAUUUGUAAUGAGUUCGCAUCGGUCACAUCUUCCCACCUUGAUGCCAACGAUUUCAGCAUCUCCUUCGCCUCUCCCGGUACACGCUCUUCCGGCGUCCGUUCAUCUUUCUUGCCGGCACCCAUAUCAAACGAGAUUCUGAGCUUUUUUUUUUUUUGGUUUGGAAUUAGAUAGAAAUGGGAGUAGUGGGGAAAUGGGUAGUUUUGGUUUCGCAGUGGGAAAUGGCAGGGAAAGGGAGAAGAGACAUAAGAGAAGAAUGUUGUUAUGGAAGUGAGAGGAUGAACGAUAAGGAAGGGUGCGAGUUAACAGGAGAGGAGAAUUCGGGUUACAUCUCUUCUCUUGUAAACUAUUUUAAUCUUCUUAAGAUAAGUUUAGCAACUCUUCAAACUUAAAUGGCUACAUCAAUGGUUAAACAAGUCGAUUGUUAUCUGACGCAGUUAAAAAAAUGUUGUAUGAUACAUUUUGACUUAAUUUAUCGAUUUAUUAACUUAGCCCAACUCAAUCCAAUUCGUACGAAUUGGGUCAGGUUAAUAAGAGAACAAGCUAGUAUGAGAUGGAUUUUCUUGUAAUCCAAAUAGAGUUGAGUUAAGAAAAUUUUAACUCUCAUAAAACCCAACCCAACCCAACCCAAAUUUUAUUUUGAGCCUGAUUCCUCCCCUCUCCCUGCUUCGAAUCUGCGAAUUGCCCGCCGCCGCCCUUCUUUACGGCUACUGCCACCUUCAGAGCACGAGACGCCAUGCCCGCCUCCGCCUCCACUAGUGUCGAUUGCAACAUUUGGAAGCAAGGUACGACAUGAUUGAACGACUGGAGAGUUGCAAUGGUGGUCCAGAAUCCAUAUCAUAAUCGAGAUCUAGGUCGAAACGGCCGUCCCAUCUGUGAACCCUAGUUAGCUACUUUCCGUCUGUGAACAGAGGCAGCUUUGAGGAGAUCAAGGUACUUCUUUAUAUGUGAUUUUGGUUUUCUGAACUGGGUUUAGGAUUACAAAUUUGGACUCUUGAUUUUGAAAACUACUGUACUUACACGAUAAGAAAUGUGGUUUGGAUAAUGGACUUAUGGUGCUGGCGAUUGUGACUCAAAGAUUUGUUUUCAGCCCGAUUUCUGAAUUGCCAGCCUCUCUGAAGUCUGACCUAGUGAGCUCGCCUCUCUCCAAUUUCGAGCAGCAGCUGCCUUGUCUUGUUCAAGUAAACGCAGCUGACAGCUUCUCUACUCGACGAGCUCCGACGACCCGAUUUCUACGGUGGCGAGAUCGAGUUGCAGUAGUCUAGAUCGAAACCAAGCGAAUGCCUAAAAUUUUAAUCUACUGAUAUAGUCGUCUCAGUAUCUUUUCUCUGAUCCAUCGCUCUUUUCCAAUAUGUCACUCAUCUCAAAUAUGGUGGUGUUCGUCGCUCGUCAGGUUGAAAAGAAAGGCUAAGCUGAAGGGAGAUUCCUGUUUUAUGUUCUGAAUUGCUCUAUGCUUGAGAUUGAUGUUUGAAUUGCAGAGAUUGAUGUUUGAGGCAGGAGAUCAAAGGUAUGACAGUUGAAGAUAAUAAAGAGUAACGUAUUUCAAUCGGAGAUGAAAAGAUAUUUUUGUUAUUUUAAUAGUUCACGGUGAGUUUUCAUGUAUUGAAAAUAUAAUAUAAGGUGUUAGUUCUGAUACACCUUGACGUGACGCCUACCUGAGCGAUGACUAAGCAUCCACUUAAUUUUCACAUAUUAAUUAUAUUUAAUAUUUUAAAAAAAUCAUCAACAUUGAUUGUAUGUAUUUUUUAAUUAAUAUACUUUAAAUUAUAAUGAAUCAUAAUUAUAUUUAUCAAGUACAUUCAAUUCAAUCGUUUAAAAUUAAUAAUAAAAUACUUCAUUAAUUAUUCUGAUCAAUUAUAAUGUUGAUAUAACAAUUAUCAAUCUCAACUAUCCCUUCCAUUUCCCGACUACUCCUGCGGCCACCUCCACAACCGCCUCCCUGAACCUCCCAUCCCUAAGGAUGCCCACCUCCACCAUCGCACCACACUGCAUCCCUCUACCUCUUAUCCCUAAAAUCGCAAUUUUCCUCCUCGUUGUCAAAGUAGAAUCUCAAAAGGCAAGGCAAAAUUACGAAUAAAAAUCAUUUAACACAGAUUGUUAGUUUUUCCCAUCCAUCAACAUUCUCAUUCAUUAACACCGGGAAUGAUAAUUUUCUCAAUAUACAUCAUUCAACAAUCAUUCAACAAUUCAUAUCUCAUUCAAUUUUAAAACUUAUUCUUAACGUAAGUCAUUGCAAAAAAUACUCUCCCAACACUUAUUAUUAUAAAAAAAAAGUUCGAAUGCCAGGUGUGCAAAGGGCCUAACGAGGAUAUUAUCUAUUGUCUCUUCACAUGCCACCAUGCCGAGAGAAUUUGGAGAGACAAAUUGCCUCACAUUAUCUUCCCUUUAAUGGCGGCUACCCUUCCUAGUUGGAUGGAGUCCUUUCAGCAAAGGGCGUCUUCCAACACCAUUGAGAAGUUCAUUGCAUCAGUAUGAUGUAUAUGGUGAGCUAGAAAUGAAUGCAGCUUUAGGCAAAAAAAUCUUCUUUGGUGAGCUCGAUAAUUCAUAUUGACUAGUUGUUAGUGGAUUGGAGUGGAUUGAGAAAUCUAAGUUUUCAACAAAAGAUGAACAAAAGUGAAAACACAUUAGCUACAAUCCUAAGUUUUCAACAAUAUAUGAUAAAAUAUUAUAUAUAAACUUUGAUAAACUUUAUUUCAUGUCCGUGGUAUUGCUAAUAUGAUGUAUCUUUCUUAUUUGUAAAUGAAUCUCGAUGAGUUAUAAUUUUCGAUAGGGCAUUCCUAUCAUUAAAAUUAAAAAUAGUGAGUUUAUGAAAAUACUGAAGUUUUAGUUGAUAUAUAUCUAGUAUCAUAAUGUUAAGUGUUCAAUUAUUUAACACUUACAGUACAAGAAUACGGAGCCGUUCUCGCGGUUAUAACCACGAGAACGAUCAUUGUCGCAGUUCCCCGCAACCUCCACCCUGAUAACGGGCUCGUUUUUAUCAGUUACUUAACCCCGACAACAGACAAUGUAGGUUGUCGCCGCGACAACGGACAUAAACCGUCUCAGCUGACCGUCGCCGUCUGUUAAUUUCGUUCUCGCGGUUAUAUAACCUCGACAAUGGACAAUGUAAAAUUUUAGAUUUGUCAGUUCUCGUAGUUUUGGGUUUCAUACAACCGCGAGAACCGACACUAUCAUUUUUCACGCUUGUCGGUUCUGGGUUUCAUAUAACUGCGAGAAUCGACAAAAAAAUUUCACAACAGUAGUUCAUUUCAGCUGCUUUGUAACGUCCAUUAAAUGACAUCUAUUUUAUAGAUUCGUUCAAAAACCAGCAUACCAAGCUUUUAAACACAUUAGAGCAUUAAUAUUCAUAAUUCAAAGAUGCACACAUAAAACAUAUUACAAGUGUUUAGGAACACAUUAAACAUCCUACAAAUAUUGAGAAAGACAUUAAACUUCAUUGUUACAAGUCUUCUCCAACACAUAAUCAAAUUCAUACAAGAGUCUUGAAACACAUAAUCAAAUUCAUACAAGUGUUCAAUAUUGCACUUUAAUCUAAUUCAACCUCCUCUUCUUCGGAUUCAAAACCAUCGCUCAAGAUGAAAUAUAGCUACAUAUAAUACGGAAAGAUUGUUACUAAACCUAUGAAGAAGUAAAUUCAUAUUCUCAAUCAAUAUAUAGUGGAAUAAAACUUACCUGUUCAGCCUUUUUUAUGUUGGUCACCUUGUUUUUCAACUGAGCAACUCGUUGUGCCCAUUCAGCCUCCCUCCUACGAUACUCAGCCUCUCUUACAGCAUCCCUCUGCAUCCACUGUUCUUGCAUGCGAAGAAGUGUGUCUUCAUAUUCAGGACGACCAUCAACCGUGUGUGCAAAUGAAUAAGUGCCUCCACAAACUCGACUACUUGAGGUUGUGCAAUUUAGCUAAGAAGUUGUAAUCAAUUGUUUUAACUAUGAUGUUUGUGUAAAAUUUUCUCAUUCUACAAAACAUAUAGUAUUGAGCCAUCAUAAUACCCUAAGUAAUCAAUUGCUCUAACUAUCAUAUAGUUUACUCAUUUUAACGUAUCAUAUAUAUUACCUAACUAACUUAGAAAUUUCUAAUUAUGUUCACAUUACCACAUUAAUAAGUUUAGUAAUUCAUUUAAUGAAUAAAUUUACCAUUUUCAUCCCUAAUUUGUUUAACAAUUUCUAUUCAUCAUUUAUAUAUUUCUUAAUAAUAUUUUUUUACCAAUAAUAAUAGAUCAUUCAUAAUAUAAAUCAUAAUCAUAAAUAUUUUUCUUAAAACGUGGUCUAAUUGUUUAUGUGGCGCUGCUAAUUAAUUUUCUAAAUUAAAAAGCUUUCUAAUUUAUCAAGUUUAUGUGGCUCCUUAAUAAAUACAUUUAGGUGUCACAUCACCUUUUACAUCAUUUUAACAUGAUUAAAAUUUUGUAAUGCUAAUAUAAAUUAAAGUAUGUUUUGUUUUUUUUUUAAAAAUUUCCUUUUUUUGCGUGCUUUGACCAGACCCGGACGAGCGUCAUGGGUUUAUUGGGUUCUGUCCACGGGUUUCAUGGGUUUAGUAUCCGGGCCUCGAGGAUUUGUUUCCACAAAACCGUUGCAGGUCGCUGGUUGACAGUAGCCCGUUUAUCGGGCUUCCUGGCCCGCCAUUCUUGCUGGGUCACGAUUUUCCAGGGCCGGGUCUGAUAACAUUAAACUGCCGUCGGGAGGGAGGCGUAAAUACGGUGAACAAAAACCCCUAAUUCCCUAAACCCUCUUCCGCUUCGGUCAAUCGCCCCCCUUUCUGUCUCAUUCCACUCUUCCUUCCUCACCAGUUUGGUCUACUCCUUCAACCAGGGUUUGCUAUUCUCCUUUUCCCUUGUUCGGCGACGGACUUCGACCCUGGACGACGUAUCAGGGUUGAGAUGCCGAAGAACGUUUACAGGAAUAGCUCACUCGCAUGGAAGCCCUCUCCAGUUGUAGCCCUAGCUACCAGUGCCGAUGACUCCCAAGUUGCCGCCGCUAGGGAGGAUGGCUCCAUGGAGAUUUGGCUUGUCUCGCCUGGCUCAGUUGGGUGGCACUGCCAGCUGGUAAAUAUCUGUUCCCCAUUUCUUUUUUCGUGUAAAUAUGGAAGACACUUGGAAUAAGGGGAGUUGGUGAAAGGCUUUGAGUGGUUGUUGUAUGUAGACAAUUCAUGGAGAUUCUAGUUCGAGGGUUUCGUCGCUUGUGUGGUGUCGCACUGGCUCAGAGGGACUGCCUUGUGGUAGAUUGUUCUCAUCAAGCAUUGAUGGCUCUAUAUCAGAAUGGGACCUCUUUCACUUGGAGCAGAAGGUGAGAUUUUUUCUGUUCCAUUCAGCGUCUUCGUGUUGGAAGCCUUGCCCUGAUUUUGUACUGUUUUGUUGCUACUGCGUGAUAAAACUUGUCCCAUUCAAACCUUUUUUAAAGAAAUGCUACCACCAGAGGUGUUCGUUCCAUAUGGUAAUGGUUUACUUGUAGAUAGGGUGGGAUGUCAUCUGACUGACACUUGUCUUUCAGAAUCAUCACUCCGUGUAACUCGGUCUAGGGACGGAUAUUGGAUUGAGAGGGUGAUUGAAUCUGAUCUAAAUGACAUAACAAAUAAUAUUGCGGAACCUACUGCACAUUUCUUUACCUUACAAUAACAUUCAACCAUUUGAUUUCCUUAAGUU
rnacentral:lncRNA from 1 species